rnacentral:lncRNA from 1 species
CUACGUGCCUGCUCCGGCACCAACUCCAAUUUUCCCUUCUCCGCCACCUCCUGUCCCCAAGUCCCCACCACCACCUCACCCUUACGUCUAUGCAUCUCCCCCUCCUCCUUACUACUACUAGAAAGCGGCCAUGAAUAGCUCAUGCUUUUAUGGUAAUCUCAUUUAUUUUUAAAACUGUACAUGUAAAGACUAGUAGUUCAGAAUUACAUUAAGCAUUUCAAUUUUAAGCACCGUGUUCUGUUUAAUUGCGUUCCUAUUGAUUAAGUGACAAAUAAAAGAGAUUGAUUAAUUUGUUCUUGUAGGAGAGGCGAAUGGUAUCCGAAUAAAGAAAGCAAGGAUUUGAUGGAAGGCUUACUUGGAGCAAGAUAGCAUCAAUCGAGUUGCUGCGUUUUAUUCUCUUUUCUCUUUGUUUUUUAAGAAAAAUAAACUGCCACGUAGAAACAGAAAAUUAAGUUCUUGUCAUUUUCAUGCAUAUGGAUUGUUGCUGUGUGUGUCAAUCAAAUCUCCGUUGUGUCAUUUGUAAUUUUCAACCUUUAUGCAUGCAAAUGCGAGACCUCUUACGUAUAAUAAAAUUAAUAUACUUCCCAAGAUGGUCUUAUCUUGCGUUGACUUUUUACGUUCCUUUGGUGAUGAUUUUAACGUUUGAAAUUGAUGACUAUUGUUUUUGUAAACUCUGACAUGGAUUUUUCGUGCAACUAAAGAGCGCAUUAAUGAGAGGCUUAUCCAUGAGGGUCCAUGCAGAUCAGUGUCUAAUUAACCAAUAAUUAAUAUAACUUAAAAAAUAUAGAGUUAACAAUUUUUAUGGGUCAGGCUCAAUUGCAGAUGUUCGUACAAAAUUUCUUGCUAAUGUAUACUUGAGUAUGAUAAUAAGUUUUAAUCAUUAUUAAUAAUUCACUUGAUAAUAUUAAACAAAUUUUCAUAUCAAUUAAGUUACAAAAUUUCUGUGACAAAUUUCCACGUACUGGAACCAUGCAAAAGGACUUUAUUCAAACAAAGCUGCAUAGCCGUUGGCAAUUAAAAUUAUUUAUCAAUUACGUUAAGUAGUAAGAAUUGGAUUGUGGAUUCCAUUAAUUAUUUCAAGGAAAAUUUUAUAGAUAAUGCCGUAAUGAAAUUUACGGCAUCAAUACCAUGAUAAAUAUAAAUAUUGUAAAUUACAAAGAGAAUUAGUAAAGUAAAGUAAAACCAGUAAAUUCAUAAAAGAUUAUUAAUUAUUUAAAAAAUUAACAUUGUUUCUACAUAAUUUUAGUGAAAAAUAUUUUAUUCAUUUACAAAAUUUCUUUAAUUAAACAAAAAAAAUUCAUUAAUUAAGCAAAAAAAUUAUACUGAAAAAAAAGUGGAAUAAGUUUAAUUGAAUUGGUUAUCAUAAAUUCUAUAUUUUAGUCUAGACAUUUGUAUACAUUUUUUUUUCCCAUUUUCGAUAAUGAUAUCUAUUUGUUACACAUGUUAAUUAAGUGCAAUUAUUUAUCUUGAUGUGGACCAAGUAAAAAAAAAAAAAAGAGAUAUCAAUAAAAUUAGAUCUAAUUUUGAAUAUUAUGUAUACUUUAUGUAGUUUCAAACUUUUUACUUGUAUUUGGAGACCAUUUAAGGUUGUUGUUGAAGAAGUGUAGAAAGAUGUAAAAUAACUUCAUCUUACAACAACUAUGAAAGAUAUUAAAAUAAUAUUUUUUUCAAAAUCCGAUUUUGAGAAAAAAUUUCAUCCUUAAUUAAACAUCACAUGUAUUAUAGAAAUGAAAACUACCAUUGUUAUAUUUAAAUUAAAAAAUAAUAAAUAUAUAAGGUAAUAAACAUUAUAACGAGUUUUUAUUUUAAAAUUGUAAACUUUUGUUUCUGACAAUAACUCUUAUAUUAAUUAAUUUAUUUUGCAUUUUAUUCAUAAGUUUUAUGCAUAAUCUACAAACUUUAUGUUUUAUUUUGCAUUUAAUGUUGAUUUGGUUUUUUUAUAUUAUACGUAUAAGUUUUCAUUUUAUUUACCAGUAAUACAUCAAUUUAUCAGUUUUAUUGUAAUUUACUUAUUUUACCUUCCUUUUACAAUUCUUAUGUUUCAUUUUCAAAAUUUAUGUUUUAUUUUACAGUUGUUGAUGAUUUACUAGUUUUAUGUUAUGUUUGCAAGUUUUUGUUUUGUUUACUAGUAAUAGAUUAAUGGGUAAUUUUUAAUUGAGUCCUCAUUAGUUCUAGAAAAAAAAUUCAGAGACCAGAAGUUUACUAAUGAAUCAAUUAAAUUCUUUCAAGUACAAACUAAUGUCAUUCAAGUCCUUAACUUAAUUGCUCAGUUAAAAAUAUUAACAACAUUGAGGACAUUUUAGUAAAACACAAUUGAGUCGUUUCUCAUUCUUUAUUUUUGACAGGUGGAAAUAGUUUAAAGUUAACUCAAUUAACCUGAUUAAGUUAAGGAUCAGUUCUUUCAAAAAAAAAAAAAAAAAAGACCUACAGAAACUGCCAUAUUCUUCGUGUGAGAGGAGAGAUCGAGAGAACGUGGGAUGGUGCAAAAAAUGUUGUAUAAAACUACUGUGAUUUUGACCAAAGCUUUGGUAGCAUUGAUUGAGUUCAAGUACUGGAGAGAACCUAAGUUUAAAGGUUAGUAACUCUAUUUUUUUAGUGAUUUCUGCAAGCAUUUUCUGAUAAAAAAUUUUCCAUAUUGAGUGAUCGUUGUGAAAAUUAAGUUUUUCAAGUCUAUUUUUCAAAAUGACAAACUAUGUUUAAUUAUUGGUGGAUUCUUUUUUUUUGUUCAAUGUUGUAUUUUGUUAAUUUGUUGUUUUUAAUUUGCUCUUUAUGUAAUUGUUAGACCAAAUACACCAUUAUUAUACUUGUAUUCAUUUCAACAAUUUGGUAUCAUUAUAUAAAUAAGAUUGAAUUCAUUGUAUUUGCUUCUUUGUUCAUGUAAAAUUGAAUUCUAUGUAUUCUUAUGAGUGAUAAUUUUUCUAUCUAUUAGACUAAAUUCACUAUAUUCACUACUUUCUUUUUUUUUUUUUUUAGUUUAUAUUUUUUUAUAUGUAUUAGAUGAAUUUGCUUUUGUAUGUUUUUUUCGCCAAAUUGCAUGUAUAUUUCAUUUAGGUUGAGUUUUUUUUUGUUGUUUGCUAAAUAAAAUAUAUUGGUUUAUCCUUUUUUGAUGCAAUACUUUUGUUUAAAAUUAAUACAGGUAGCCAUGUUACCUUUUUUUUUCGGUUUAAAAUUAAUGGGGAUGUAUGCGAUAGGAUAUAGGGAACCAGAGGAAUAUAAGAUUAUUAGGCUGUUUCUUGAAAUUCAAGAUGUCAUGGUUAAGCAUGGACACAUUGAAAUGGAUUUGAUUGAAAUUUUUGUUGUAUUGCCAUGGACUACAAGUAGGCAGAGGAAGCUAAUUUCAAACGAUAGUGAAUUGUUUUNAUGAACAUGUACAAGAUCCCACUAGUUACAACAAAGCUCUAAUAGAUAGAGAUGUUGAAUUUUGGAAAAAGGCCAUGAAUCAAGAAAUGGAAUCUAUGUAUUCCAAUAAAGUCUGGGAACUUGUAGAGGCACCAAAUGGGGUAAAACCUAUAGGGUGCAAGUGGAUCUACAAGAGAAAAAGAGAGUAAACGGAAGGGUGGAAACAUUUAAAGCAAGAUUAGUAACCAAAGGGUUGUAUUUAGAAAGAGAAAUUGAUUAUGAGGAAACCUUUUCCCCGGUUGCUAUGCUUAAAUCCAUUAGGAUUCUGCUCUCCAUUGCUGCAGUGCUAGAUUAUGAAAUUUGGCAAAUGGAUGUCAAGACUGCCUUUCUUAACGGGCAUCUUGAAGAAAAUAUCUGCAUGCAGCAACCAGAUGGAUUUAUACAAAAAAGGCCAAGAACACAUGGUUUGUAAGUUGCAGAGAUCUAUUUUUGGAUUGAAGCAAACAUCCCAGUCAUGGAACAUCAGAUUUGAUCAAGCGAUUAAAUCGUUUGGAUUCAUUCAGAACAUUGAUGAAUCAUGUGUGUACAAGAAAAUUCAAGAAAAAUUUGUAGCCUUCCUAAUUCUUUAUGUAGACGAUAUUCUCCUAAUUGGAAAUGAUAUAGGAGUAUUGACUACAAUAAAAAGUUGGUUAGCAAAACAAUCUGAUAUGAAAGACCUGGGAGAUGUAAGUUAUAUUCUUGGUAUCAAGUUACUACGAAACCGGAAGAAUAAAAUUUUACCUUGUCUCAAGCAGUCUAUAUCAAUAAGAUAUUGGCUAGAUUUAGCAUGGAAAAUUCCAAGACUGGUUUAUUACCAUUCAAACAUGGAAUUACAUUCUCUAAAGAUCAAUCUCCUAAAACAUCUGAAGAGAUAGAGAGAAUGAGACGAGUUCCCUAUGCAGAAGCUGUGGGAAGUCUCAUGUAUGUCAUGCUUUGCACUAGGCCCGACAUCUGUUUUGCGGUAGGGAUAGUUAAUAGAUAUGAAUCUAAUCCUGGACCUAAACACUGGACUGCGGUCAAGCAUAUAAUGAAGUAUCUGAAAAGAACUAAAAAUUAUAUGCUUGUGUAUUCUGGUGAUGAACUCAUUCCAGUGGGUUAUACUGAUUCUGACUUUAUGUUAGAUAAGGAUUCCAGAAAAUCAACUUGCGGCUAUGUGUUUACAUUAGGAAGUGGAGCUAUUAGUUGGAGGAGUGUGAAACAAUCUUGUAUCGCAGACUCCACAACUGAAGCUAAAUAUGUGGCUGCAUCGAAGCUGCAAAAAGAAGCUGUAUGGCUCUGCAAGUUCCUACAAGAUCUUGAGGUGGUACCUGCUGUAACUGCACCCCUUAAACUAUUUUACGAUAAUAGUGGUGCGGUAGCUCAAUCUAAGGAACCACAAGAAACAAAAACAUAUUGAGAGGAAGUAUCAUCUUAUAAGGAAAUAGUGUAGAAAUGUUAUAUGACAGUGCCCCAAAUGACAUUAGAUGCUAAAUGACAGAUCUUAUUACAAUAGCCAUUAGUGGAAAACCUUUAUAACCUGCACUUAGAGCCCUAGAGCAUGUGCAAUAUGCCAGAUAUGCUUUAAGAGCUAGUGGGAGAUUGUUGGAAAAAUAUGCUCUUUAAAAGCAUAUGUGUUUAUUUAAUUGUAAUAAACAAUUUUUCUGAUUAAUAAAAUAAAUGAGGUAUUUUAUUCAAAUAUCUUAAUUGCAUUAAUAUUUUUAUUAAAGUCCAUUUAAUCAUAUUAUAUGUAUUUAUGUGAUCACCAUGUGGAUUCACAGAAGACAUAAAUACAAGUUAUCUUAUGAUUAAAUAAAUUUAGUUCGCAGUUGAUAAAUAAAGUUGGGCACUUUAUUUAGGUAUAUAGACUGUAAUAAAUUUAUUGAAUGAUUUGUCUUAAUCAUGUAUGAAUUUAUUGAUGUAGUACGACUACAUUGAACAGGAUCACAUAUGAGAUUUAAUUAACUUUGUAAUAACUGUCAGACUUAUAAAUCUCAUAGGCAUUGAUUUUACUGUAAUCUUAAUACUGAGUUAAUUAUGAUUUCAUGAUUGUAAUUGUUAUUCCAUUUGAGUUACCAAUGGGCACGACAUAUACUUGUGGUCAAGAUUACCCAGUAUCUUGGUGGGAGCAAUUAUGAGUAUUGGAGUUUAUGGAUUAACAAUAUAGAAUUUGUACAACACAUCUCUUGAUGGGUUUUGGCAGUUGAUCAUAUAAUUCUCUGGCCAGAGUGUGUCAAACAUAUUUAGUAUGUUGAAAAUAAUCAUUAACGAAAACCAGUAAGUAUUAAAAGAACACAAAUGUAAUUAAAUUGAUUGGAUAGUUGAGAUAUCGAUUUAAUUAAUGAUGUGGUACAAAGGAUUGUGCAGUAAAGAAAUCAAUGUGGCUUGAGACGAAUUAUUAUUCGAGCAUAUAAUUAUGGAAGUCAGUUCCAAUCUUUUAGUGGAGUAUUCCAAUCUUUUAGUGGAGUAGAUUUAGAAUUAAAUAAUUGGGCUAGUUUAAAUUACAGGCCUAAUUAUUGUAGCCACUAUUGUAUGUUCCCAAAUGAUCCCCGGGUUAGCUCAUUUAAUUGACUGCACCACUAUUGGAUUAAUAAGCAAGAUAACUAGCUAAUUUGGUCAAAAGCCUAAAUAUAUCAUUUAGUGGGAGGCUCCAUUUAAUUAGUUUGUGUGUAAGGGGCCUUAUGUUAUUUUACAAGGUAGGUCCCUUAUAGAAAAAGCAAGUAAUGUGAGUUUGUUUUUUAUUAUUUGGAGUCUAGGGUUUUCACUAAAGGGAGAUAUAAAAGGCUUAUUUUCUCUAAAGAAAAGAGAUAGCAGCCACUUUAUAUAGAUCAGAGAAAAAGAUUUUUCUCUCUAUUGUUGAGAGAAAAAUUUUCUCGUGCUAGUUGAUUUGGUAGUGAUAAAGGUGCCCACACGUCAAGUGCAGAUCAAACCUGAGUCAUAACCUGAAAGAUAAUUGGUGACAGUUCGUGAUCUAACAAGCGUGGUGGUGACGGAUCGUGAUUAGAAGCCUAAAUCACUUCAGCGGAAAAUCUAAAUCGAAUUUUCAAGGUACGAUUUCGAGAUUACGUAUUCUUAUAUAUUAUAUGAAGAGCGAUCUUAAAAAUGUUUUAUAAAAAAUUUAAAAAACUUAUCUUUCCCAACAUAUGGAACCAUGCAAAAGGGCUUUAUUUCAAACAAAGCUGCAUAGCCGUUGGCAAUCAAAAUACUUUAUCAAUUAAGUUAAGUAGUAAGAAUUGGAUUGUGGAUUCUAUUAAUUAUUUCAAGGAAAAUUUUAUAGAUAAUGGCGUAAUGAAAUUUACGGCAUCAAUACCAUGAUAAAUAUAAAUAUUGUAAAUUACAAAUAGAAUUAGUAAAUGUAAAGUAAAACCAGUAAAUUCAUAAAAGAUUAUUAAUUAUUUAAAAAAAUUAACAUUGUUUCUACAUAAUUUUAGUGAAAAAUAUUUUAUUCAUUUACAAAAAAAAAAUUCUUUAAUUAAAAAAAAUCAUUAAUUAAAUAAAAAUUAUACUGAAACAAAAGUGGAAUAAGUUUAAUUGAAUUGGUUACCAUAAAUUCUAUAUUUAGUCUAGAACAUUUGUAUACAUUUUUUUUCCCAUUUUCUAUAAUGAUAUCUAUUUAUUACACAUGUUAAUUAAGUGUAAUUAUUUAUCUUGAUGUGGAUCAAGUAAAAAAAAAAAAAGAGAUAUCAAUAAAAUUAGAUCUAAUUUUGAAUAUUAUGUAUACUUUAUGUAGUUUCAAACAUUUUACCUGUAUUUGGAGACCAUUUAAGGUUGUUGUUGAAGAAGUGUAGAAAGAUGUAAAAUAACGUCAUCUUACAACAAUUAUAAUGAUAUCUAUUUAUUACACAUGUUAAUUAAGCACAAUUAUUUAUCUUGAUGUGGAUCAAGUAAAAAUAAAAGAAAAGAUAUAUCAAUAAAAUUAGAUCUAAUUUUGAAUAUUAUGUAUACUUUAUGUAGUUUCAAACUUUUUACUUGUAUUUGGAGACCAUUUAAGGUUGUUGUUGAAGAAGUGUAGAAAGAUGUAAAAUAACUUCAUCUUACAACAACUAUGAAAGAUAUUAAAAUAAUAUUUUUUCAAAAUCCGAUUUUGAGCAAAAAUUUCAUCCUUAAUUAAAAAUCACAUGUAUUAUGGAAAUGCAAAACUACCAUUGUUAUAUUUAAAUUAAAAAAUAAUAAAUAUAUAAGGUAAUAAACAUUAUAACGAGUUUUUAUUUUAAAAUUGUAAACUUUUGUUUCUAACAAUAACUCUGAUAUUAAUUAAUUUAUUUUUUCCUUUUAUUCAUAAGUUUUAUGCAUAAUCUACAAACUUUAUGUUUUAUUUUGCAUUUAAUGUUGAUUUACUUUUUUUAUAUUAUACUUAUAAGUUUUCAUUUUAUUUACCAGUAAUACAUCAAUUUAUCAAUUUUGUAGUAAUUUACUUAUUUUACUUUCCUUUUACAAUUCUUAUGUUUAAUUUCCAAAGUUUAUGUUUUAUUUUACAGUUGUUGAUGAUUUACUAGUUUUAUGUUAUGUUUGCAAGUUUUUGUUUUGUUUACUAGUAAUAGAUUAAUGGGUAAUUUUUAAUUGAGUCCUCAUUAGAUCUAGAAAAAUAAUUCAGUGACCAGAAGUUUACUAAAUGAAUCAAUUAAAUUCUUUCAAAUACAAACUAAUGUCAUUCAAGUCCUUAACUUAAUUGCUCAGUUAAAAAUACUAACAACGUUGAGGACAUUUUAGUAAAACAACAAUUGAGUCGUUUCUCAUUCUUUAUUUUUGACAGGUGGAAAUAGUUUAAAGUAAAAAAAAUAAUCAAGGCCUAACUGUUAACAUGUAGAUGUUCAUUAUAUUGAUUUUGAUGAUAACAAACUUUAAAUAUUUUUUAUUAAAAUGUUGGAGUUUUCAUUACUAAACAAUUUCUCAAAAGUCGUAUGAUCUUUCUAAAUGUGUUCAUGAAAUAUGGAGAAUCGUUAACUUUAACCGAAAAAUCAUUCCCUGCGAAAUUUGGUUAAAAUUGUGAUUCUGGAAGUAAAUGGUGAACCAUUAACUUCAAAACGGCCAACCAAUAAUUUCCAGAAUGUCAUUCCAUGCUGACCUUCAAUCGUUUAGCAAGAACGGAUAGCAGAAAUUUGUUUUACAGGUUUAUGGAAAUUAACAGCAAACCGAUAGUGUCAAAAGAUCAACUGUUUAUUUGAAAUUUAUCGCAACGGUCACUUGAACCAGUCAAAACGGUUAACUGAUAACGGUUAACGGCGAUCCAAUUUCGGGAAAAAAGUCAACAAUGGCUAUUUUUCAACUCCAACAUUAAAUAAGCUCAAUCAAAUUCAAACAAGAGCUGAUCACAACAUUAUCAUUGAGCUUAUAAUCGAGAAUACAACAUUCAUUGAGCUUCAAAUUCAUUCUUGUUCAUUUAUUCACACAUUAAGCGUUGAUUUGUAAUCUCAAAAAAUUGUGUGAGAGAAAAAUAAAUUUGUAAUCUUUAUUUUGAGUGAUUGUAAAUGUUGGGAUACAUUUGGGUUAAGAGAUUGGGGAUAAUCUCUUGAUGUAAAGGUUGAUUGACGCCUAAGAAGUUAGUUGUAAGUGUUCUUGAAGCCUUGAAGGCUUGACUAGUGGAAUGCCCAAGCUCCGUGUGCUUGGAGGCGUGGAUGUAGGCAAGGUUGGCCGAACCACGUAAAACUCUCUAUAUUUUAAUCUCUCUUCCCUUAUCUUUUUAUAUUUUGGUUGAUUUAUUUAUUAUUGCUUUAAAUUUGUUUAAGAUUUUCAUUAAGUUUUGUUUAAGAAUUGCAUAAUUUUUAGAAACCCAAUUCACCCCCCUCUUGGGUUGCUUAGAUAUUAUUUCACUAACAUGCCUCUGUUUGUGCAAAAUAUAAUAAGGUAAUUUAGAGUACUAACCAUAGUACUCUUCCUCGAAAUUCUAGAAUAGGUUCGGUAGUUCCAUGAGCCCAUAGAUUGGCCCAUGCUCAGCACUGUUAUAGCUCCACACAUCAUGCAAGAUUACUCCCGCAACUAUUCCACACGACCUAAAGCAACACAUUGCCGACUAGCCCAAUAAGAUCUGCCUUAGUUCAUUAGUUGAAUAAUUUAUUUUAAUUCUAAUUUAUAAUAAGAAUGGCACUGAUAAAAUUACUGUAGCAAUUCAUAUAAUAAUAAUCCUUGUGGAGACGAUCUUGAAUACUAAUCAUUAUAUUACUUGUUGUGUAUAUUUUCACAUUGACACUAAUAGCAUUAGAAAAUCGACAACAAGUUUUUUGCGCCAUUGCUGGGGAUUGGUGCUUAUUGUGUUUUGUGAAAUCAAUUUUAGUUGGUACAAUAGAGUUCUUUGCCACCAGACUCCAUCACCACAUGGAAUGAUUUGGCUGACAAUAUUUUGAUGAAAUAUUUCCCACCAACAAAGAAUACAAAGUUGAAGAAUGAGAUCACAUCUUUCCAUCAACUUGAAGAUGAAAGCUUGUAUGAUGCAUGAGAAAGAUUCAAGGAGUUACUCAUGGUAUUCCUUAUUGCAUACAAUUGGAAACUUUCUACAAUGGGUUGAACUCAAGCACUAAGGGCUUUAUUGUCUAACUCAUAUAAUGAGGCUUAUGAAAUUUUGGAAAGGAUAACUAUCAAUGGCCAUCAACUAGACAAGCCACAGUGAGAGGAGCAGCAGGAGUACACAAUGUGGAUGCACUGACAACAUUAUCAGCCCAAGUAACCUCAUUGACAAAUAUGGUAAAAGCAACGGCCACUGCUCCAACAACAAUUAACCAAGUUGCUGAAGUCUCUUGUGUUUAUUAGAGAGAGGGACAUCUAUAUGAUAAUUAUCCUAGGAAUUCAGCUUCAGUCAAUUAUGUGGGCAAUUUUAAUAAACAAAAUCAAAGCAAUCAAUUUUCAAACACCUAUAACCUUGGAUGGAGACAUCACCCAAAUUUUUCAUGGAGCAAUCAGAAUCAGCAUGCUGCAGCAUCUAGUGGACAGAACAGACUUGCUCAACCACCUGGUUUUCACCAGCAAUUAUAAGGGUAAAGAAACACCAGUAAUGAUCAAUUUAGUUCCCUUGAAACUCUAAUUAAGGAGUAUAUUGUGAAGAUUGAAGUAGUGGUCUAAAGCCAAGUUGUAUUUUUAAGAAACUUGGAGAAUAAGAUUGGAUAGCUUGCUACAACAUUGAGCAACAUACCUCAGGACAGUUUACUAAACAAUACAGAGGAUCCAAAGAGAGAAGGAAAAGAGCAUUGUAAGGGGAUUAACUUAUGGUCUGGAAAGGAUGUUCAUAUUCUUGUUAAAGUACCAAAAAGAAAAGUGGAACCUAAUUCAACCCAAAGGGAAACUCAAAUUAAAGAAGAGACACAACAACCCAUUUUCCAGCACACUGGUGAGAGUUGCUAAGCUAUAACAACUGCAAAAAAACAUGAUUCAAUGCUUGUUGAGGAAGAAGCUGCAACACCAACAAUAACAGACCAUAAUAGAGCAAGAGAAAAGCAAUCUGUAUAGUCUGCUGCAGUACAACAAUUUACACAUCCACCAACAUUUCCACAAAGAUUUCAAAAGCGAAAGCAAGACAAGCAAUUCAAUAAAUUCUUGGAAGUAUUGAAACAACUGCAUAUCAACAUUCCUUUUGUGGAAGCAUUAGAACAAAUGCCAAAUUAUGUAAAAUUUUGGAAAUGUAUAUUGGCAAGGAAAAUGAGGCUUGGAGAAUUUGAAAUAGUUGGUCUAACACAAGAAUGCAGCCAUAUGCUUCAAAGUAAAAUGCCUCAAAAGAUGAAGGAUCUAGGAAGUUUCACAAUUCCUUGUUCCAUAGGAACUAAAUAUAGUGGCAAGACACUUGGGUAAUUUUUAGGGACCUCCCCUGAGGAUUGGUGUAUUAACACUUAGAUGGAAUGUAUUCGUGAAAUUACAAAUACCUCCCCUGCCGUUAGUAUAAAAAUACGUAUAACAUCAGUAUAGAAGGGUAAAUGUGUAAAAACAUAUUAAAAACUAAAAAUGUAUGCUUUUACUAGAUCAAUAAAAUUUUGACCACCACUUGCCCCCUGUUGACCCACCGUUGAGCAGCUGAUCAUGGCUCCACCGGUGGCUAGUGGUGGUGCUUUACUAGUGUGGGAGUUCCCUCCUCACACCGGCGACCAACCCCAUUCACGGUCCUUGUGGCACUAAUUAUGGGACUAGUGUAGCAUAAAUACUAAUAUUGCUUUUUAUUUUGUAAAUUAAUUGCUGCGUCAUAAUGUUUUUACAUACACAUUUUAUGUUUUAAAAUAUGAAUUUUUUUUUUGUAUUUAGGGUUAAUUUUACAAUUUCAUACUUUGUUCAAUUAUAUGUACAGGUCCUUAAUGUGUUGGUUGAUGUUGAAUAUUCAAAGAUCCACAAGCUAUCAACGACAACGAAUCAAAUUAAACUAAUUAGUUAAUACAUAAUGACUGGGUUGUUUCCUAUGCUUGUUAAUGAUGUAGGACGUUAUUUUAGGAUUUUAGAAUUUUAAUUAUUAGGUCUUCUGAUAUUUUCUUUUUUAAUUAAAGUCAGUGUCUUAGUUUUUUAUUUAUUUAUGUUAUAAUUAUAAUUUACUUUCUCUUUUUAAGUUAACUUAGGAAAAUAUAUUUACUGUAUUAUAAAGAGAUCUUGUUAUUACUUUAUAACUUCAACUUCAGUUAUUCAAUUAAAAACCCCUCUUUUAAAGUUGUUUGAUUAGAGCAUCAUCUAGCCUUGCUUAACGCAUUAUUAAAAAUCCCUUUGAGUUUAAUCACACUUCUAUUAGAGCGUAACUUAAUCGCAUUAACUUGGUCCAGUACUUGAACGAUAUCUAGUGUUUUGCUUCCGCUAUGCCCAAGGAGAAAAUUAAUUUCACCGUGAGAUAAGAGCAUUAAAAGGAAUUCAUAAGAAAUUUAAAUUAAAGCUAAGUUAAAUAUAUCGCUAGCUACUUGUUUUCGGAGGAAUUAAAACAAUUAAUAAGCUGCGAAGUGAAAAUGAAUAAAUAAAUGAAAUGAGGUUGAAAAUAAGUCUCGCCGCCUGGAUCCAAGGCCAAAACAUUCAUGAUAAGUUAGGUAAUUAAGUACAUGUUUUCAAGCUCUUCAUGAAGAAUAACGUUAUUGAAAUAAAUCACAAAGACUCCCUGCGCAAAUUAUUACAUUGAUUAAAAAAAAAAAACCCAUAUCUUUAACAGGAUCGUGACUCUCGGACUGUUAAUUACUUUAUUCCCUGCUUGGCCAACAGCUGGCCACUAAACAAAAUCAUAAAAAUUUUAAAUUUAGUCAAAUUGGUCCCACUUGAUGACAUCCUUUCCAAACAUAAAAUUGUUAACGUCAAGGUUAAAUAUGAGAAGUUUGGUAGAGAAGGUAAAAAGGAAGUCUAUAUAAGGAGGGGAACGAGCUUUGUUUAUAGCACAAGUGAAACUCCACUUUAUUGAACGAUGGGGUCUCAAAUGGGCUGCCUCUUUGCCACUCUUUUGGUAGUAUCAGUCUCUCUUAGCUACUUGCCGUUAGAAGCCUCCGCAAACAAAUACUACUACACAUCUCCUCCCCCUCCCAAGUACAAGUCUCCACCACCACCCCCGCCACCGGUUCACAAUUCUCCACCACCACCCCCGGUUUACCUGCCCCCGCCACCUCCUCCACCAGUCUACGUGCCUGCUCCGGCACCAACUCCAAUUUUCCCUUCUCCGCCACCUCCUGUCCCCAAGUCCCCACCACCACCUCACCCUUACGUCUAUGCAUCUCCCCCUCCUCCUUACUACUACUAGAAAGCGGCCAUGAAUAGCUCAUGCUUUUAUGGUAAUCUCAUUUAUUUUUAAAACUGUACAUGUAAAGACUAGUAGUUCAGAAUUACAUUAAGCAUUUCAAUUUUAAGCACCGUGUUCUGUUUAAUUGCGUUCCUAUUGAUUAAGUGACAAAUAAAAGAGAUUGAUUAAUUUGUUCUUGUAGGAGAGGCGAAUGGUAUCCGAAUAAAGAAAGCAAGGAUUUGAUGGAAGGCUUACUUGGAGCAAGAUAGCAAUCAAUCGAGUUGCUGCGUUUUAUUCUCUUUUCUCUUUGUUUUUUAAGAAAAAUAAACUGCCACACGUAGAAACAGAAAAUUAAGUUCUUGUCAUUUUCAUGCAUAUGGAUUGUUGCUGUGUGUGUCAAUCAAAUCUCCGUUGUGUCAUUUGUAAUUUUCAACCUUUAUGCAUGCAAAUGCGAGACCUCUUACGUAUAAUAAAAUUAAUAUACUUCCCAAGAUGGUCUUAUCUUGCGUUGACUUUUUACGUUCCUUUGGUGAUGAUUUUGACGUUUGAAAUUGAUGACUAUUGUUUUUGUAAACUCUGACAUGGAUUUUUCGUGCAACUAAAGAGCGCAUUAAUGAGAGGCUUAUCCAUGAGGGUCCAUGCAGAUCAGUGUCUAAUUAACCAAUAAUUAAUAUAACUUAAAAAAUAUAGAGUUAACAAUUUUUAUGGGUUAGGCUCAAUUGCAGAUGUUCGUACAAAAUUUCUUGCUAAUGUAUACUUGAGUAUGAUAAUAAGUUUUAAUCAUUAUUAAUAAUUCACUUGAUAAUAUUAAACAAAUUUUCAUAUCAAUUAAGUUACAAAAUUUCUGUGACAAAUUUCCACGUACUGGAACCAUGCAAAAGGACUUUAUUCAAACAAAGCUGCAUAGCCGUUGGCAAUUAAAAUUAUUUAUCAAUUACGUUAAGUAGUAAGAAUUGGAUUGUGGAUUCCAUUAAUUAUUUCAAGGAAAAUUUUAUAGAUAAUGCCGUAAUGAAAUUUACGGCAUCAAUACCAUGAUAAAUAUAAAUAUUGUAAAUUACAAAGAGAAUUAGUAAAUGUAAAGUAAAACCAGUAAAUUCAUAAAAGAUUAUUAAUUAUUUAAAAAAUUAACAUUGUUUCUACAUAAUUUUAGUGAAAAAUAUUUUAUUCAUUUACAAAAACAUUUCUUUAAUUAAACAAAAAAAAUUCAUUAAUUAAGCAAAAAAAUUAUACUGAAAAAAAAGUGGAAUAAGUUUAAUUGAAUUGGUUAUCAUAAAUUCUAUAUUUAGUCUAGGACAUUUGUAUACAUUUUUUUUUCCCAUUUUCGAUAAUGAUAUCUAUUUGUUACACAUGUUAAUUAAGUGCAAUUAUUUAUCUUGAUGUGGACCAAGUAAAAAAAAAAAAAAAAAAGAGAUAUCAAUAAAAUUAGAUCUAAUUUUGAAUAUUAUGUAUACUUUAUGUAGUUUCAAACUUUUUACUUGUAUUUGGAGACCAUUUAAGGUUGUUGUUGAAGAAGUGUAGAAAGAUGUAAAAUAACUUCAUCUUACAAUAACUAUGAAAGAUAUUAAAAUAAUAUUUUUUUCAAAAUCCGAUUUUGAGAAAAAAUUUCAUCCUUAAUUAAACAUCACAUGUAUUAUAGAAAUGCAAAACUACCAUUGUUAUAUUUAAAUUAAAAAAUAAUAAAUAUAUAAGGUAAUAAACAUUAUAACGAGUUUUUAUUUUAAAAUUGUAAACUUUUGUUUCUGACAAUAACUCUUAUAUUAAUUAAUUUAUUUUGCAUUUUAUUCAUAAGUUUUAUGCAUAAUCUACAAACUUUAUGUUUUAUUUUGCAUUUAAUGUUGAUUUGGUUUUUUUAUAUUAUACGUAUAAGUUUUCAUUUUAUUUACCAGUAAUACAUCAAUUUAUCAGUUUUAUUGUAAUUUACUUAUUUUACCUUCCUUUUACAAUUCUUAUGUUUCAUUUUCAAAAUUUAUGUUUUAUUUUACAGUUGUUGAUGAUUUACUAGUUUUAUGUUAUGUUUGCAAGUUUUUGUUUUGUUUACUAGUAAUAGAUUAAUGGGUAAUUUUUAAUUGAGUCCUCAUUAGUUCUAGAAAAAAAAUUCAGAGACCAGAAGUUUACUAAAUGAAUCAAUUAAAUUCUUUCAAGUACAAACUAAUGUCAUUCAAGUCCUUAACUUAAUUGCUCAGUUAAAAAUAUUAACAACAUUGAGGACAUUUUAGUAAAACAACAAUUGAGUCGUUUCUCAUUCUUUAUUUUUGACAGGUGGAAAUAGUUUAAAGUUAACUCAAUUAACCUGAUUAAGUUAAGGAUCAGUUCUUUCAAAAGAAAAAAAAAAAAAGACCUACAGAAACUGCCAUAUUCUUCGUGUGAGAGGAGAGAUCGAGAGAACGUGGGAUGGUGCAAAAAAUGUUGUAUAAAACUACUGUGAUUUUGACCAAAGCUUUGGUAGCAUUGAUUGAGUUCAAGUACUGGAGAGAACCUAAGUUUAAAGGUUAGUAACUCUAUUUUUUUAGUGAUUUCUGCAAGCAUUUUCUGAUAAAAAAUUUUCCAUAUUGAGUGAUCGUUGUGAAAAAUUAAGUUUUUCAAGUCUAUUUUUCAAAAUGACAAACUAUGUUUAAUUAUUGGUGGAUUCUUUUUUUUUGUUCAAUGUUGUAUUUUGUUAAUUUGUUGUUUUUAAUUUGCUCUUUAUGUAAUUGUUAGACCAAAUACACCAUUAUUAUACUUGUAUUCAUUUCAACAAUUUGGUAUCAUUAUAUUAAUAAGAUUGAAUUCAUUGUAUUUGCUUCUUUGUUCAUGUAAAAUUGAAUUCUAUGUAUUCUUAUGAGUGAUAAUUUUUCUAUCUAUUAGACUAAAUUCACUAUAUUCACUACUUUCUUUCUUUUUGCUGGGCUAUUUUUUUCUUUUUAGUUUAUAUUUUUUAUAUGUAUUAGAUUGAAUUUGCUUUUGUAUGUUUUUUUCGCCAAAUUGCAUGUAUAUUUCAUUUAGGUUGAGUUUUUUUUGUUGUUUGCUAAAUAAAAUUAUAUUGGUUUAUCCUUUUUUGAUGCAAUACUUUUGUUUAAAAUUAAUACAGGUAGCCAUGUUACCUUUUUUUCGGUUAAAAUUAAUGGGGUGAUGUAUGCGAUAGGAUAUAGGGAACCAGAGGAAUAUAAGAUUAUUAGGCUGUUUCUUGAAAUUCAAGAUGUCAUGGUUAAGCAUGGACACAUUGAAAUGGAUUUGAUUGAAAUUUUUGUUGUAUUGCCAUGGACUACAAGUAGGCAGAGGAAGCUAAUUUCAAACGAUAGUGAAUUGUAUUGGGUUUUCGAGGUGUUUUUUUUAUCAAUAGUUGUCCUGUCAUUGAGUUUGAGGUGCACACUGGGUCAGGUGGUCAGUUAUUUCAUGAAAGUGUUGUAAUAGGACCUGAAAAUCCUGUCAAUAUUAAAAAUUAGCGUUGUAAUAGUGAUAAGUUUGAAAAUCCUGUGGCUAAAAAGGGUUUGCCUAGAAUAAUUGGUUCUUCUUUAUUUGCCUCAAAGUCCAACACUAUGAAAUCCACUAGGAAAAAGAAUUUAUCCACUUUAACCAGCACGUCUUCAAUCUUACCUUCAGGAUAAGCAUGAGAUCUGGCAGCACAUUGCAAUGUCACUGUGGCUGGUCUGACUUCUCCAACUCCCAAUUGCUUGAAUUCUAAUAAUGUCAUAAGAUUGAUGCUUGGUCCCAAAUAGGGAUGACAAUUGUACCCGCAAACCCGCCCAAACCCACCUGCCAAAACCCGCCCAUUGCGGGUAAUUUUACCCAUUGCGGGCGGGUUUAGUAUUAUAAAUUAAAACCCGCGCAUGGAUGUGGGUGGGUUUAGUAUUAACCUUAUAUCCGGUGGAUACCCGCAUGGAUAUCCAUCAAACCCGCAAUAUUUUUUUUCAAAUAUUUUUAAUUUAAUUUAAAUAUAAAAAUGUAUAAAGAAAAUAAUGUCAUUAAUCAAAUUACCAAAUAGACAAAGGCUCAAAGUUGUGUAUGUGUGUAUGUGGCCCAUCUCUUAUUCUAAAGUCAUAACCUAAAGAAAACUAAAGGCAUUUCCCUUCGAAUUAGUAUUUAAAAAUAUUAAUCUUAAUUAUUAUUAUAGGCAUUGUGUUGGAUGGGUGCUUAUGGUGGUGAAUGAAAUGAAUAUCUUCUCUUGGAUCUUGUUUUAAAUGAUAAUAUGAAAUGUAAUUAUUAUUUUUAGAUACUAGUUUGUGUUUUUAAAAUAGAUUUGUGUAAUUUAUACUUAAAUUUGAGAAUUUGUAUUGAAUUGAUGUGGAAAUUUUAAUUUUUCAUUGACAUUGUUUAAAUAUAAAAUUGAGUAUGCUAUUUGGAAUUUGAGGUUAUUAUUAUAAAUUUAUAUAUUAAAUAUUUGUGAUUUUAAAUACGAAAACCCGCAAAAAUUCCGCCGGAUACUAUUGCGGGUUUGGUAAUUAUUAAAACCCGCUGCGGGUGGGUUUUUAAAAAAAAAUUAAAACCCGCGGCGGGUUGCGGGUGGGUUUAGUAAUUUAAAUUUUGUGCGGGUUUGGGUUUGAUAAUGGCAAAUCCGCUGCGGGCGGUGCCCAUUGCUAUCCCUAGUCCCAAAUCACAAAGUGUCUUGCCACUGUAUUUAGUUCCUAUGGAACAACGAAUUGUGAAACUUCCUGGAUCAUUCAACUUUUGAGGCAUUUUACUCUGAAGCAUAUGGCUGAAUUCUUGUGUUAGACCAACUAUUUCAACUAUUUCAAAUUAUUUGCCUCAAAGUCCAACACUAUGAAAUCCACUAGGAAAAAGAAUUUAUCCACUUUAACCAGCACGUCUUCAAUCUUACCUUCAGGAUAAGCAUGAGAUCUGGCAGCACAUUGCAAUGUCACUGUGGCUGGUCUGACUUCUCCAACUCCCAAUUGCUUGAAUUCUAAUAAUGUCAUAAGAUUGAUGCUUGGUCCCAAAUAGGGAUGACAAUUGUACCCGCAAACCCGCCCAAACCCACCUGCCAAAACCCGCCCAUUGCGGGUAAUUUUACCCAUUGCGGGCGGGUUUAGUAUUAUAAAUUAAAACCCGCGCAUGGAUGUGGGUGGGUUUAGUAUUAACCUUAUAUCCGGUGGAUACCCGCAUGGAUAUCCAUCAAACCCGCAAUAUUUUUUUUCAAAUAUUUUUAAUUUAAUUUAAAUAUAAAAAUGUAUAAAGAAAAUAAUGUCAUUAAUCAAAUUACCAAAUAGACAAAGGCUCAAAGUUGUGUAUGUGUGUAUGUGGCCCAUCUCUUAUUCUAAAGUCAUAACCUAAAGAAAACUAAAGGCAUUUCCCUUCGAAUUAGUAUUUAAAAAUAUUAAUCUUAAUUAUUAUUAUAGGCAUUGUGUUGGAUGGGUGCUUAUGGUGGUGAAUGAAAUGAAUAUCUUCUCUUGGAUCUUGUUUUAAAUGAUAAUAUGAAAUGUAAUUAUUAUUUUUAGAUACUAGUUUGUGUUUUUAAAAUAGAUUUGUGUAAUUUAUACUUAAAUUUGAGAAUUUGUAUUGAAUUGAUGUGGAAAUUUUAAUUUUUCAUUGACAUUGUUUAAAUAUAAAAUUGAGUAUGCUAUUUGGAAUUUGAGGUUAUUAUUAUAAAUUUAUAUAUUAAAUAUUUGUGAUUUUAAAUACGAAAACCCGCAAAAAUUCCGCCGGAUACUAUUGCGGGUUUGGUAAUUAUUAAAACCCGCUGCGGGUGGGUUUUUAAAAAAAAAUUAAAACCCGCGGCGGGUUGCGGGUGGGUUUAGUAAUUUAAAUUUUGUGCGGGUUUGGGUUUGAUAAUGGCAAAUCCGCUGCGGGCGGUGCCCAUUGCUAUCCCUAGUCCCAAAUCACAAAGUGUCUUGCCACUGUAUUUAGUUCCUAUGGAACAACGAAUUGUGAAACUUCCUGGAUCAUUCAACUUUUGAGGCAUUUUACUCUGAAGCAUAUGGCUGAAUUCUUGUGUUAGACCAACUAUUUCAACUAUUUCAAAUUAUUUGCCUCAAAGUCCAACACUAUGAAAUCCACUAGGAAAAAGAAUUUAUCCACUUUAACCAGCACGUCUUCAAUCUUACCUUCAGGAUAAGCAUGAGAUCUGGCAGCACAUUGCAAUGUCACUGUGGCUGGUCUGACUUCUCCAACUCCCAAUUGCUUGAAUUCUAAUAAUGUCAUAAGAUUGAUGCUUGGUCCCAAAUAGGGAUGACAAUUGUACCCGCAAACCCGCCCAAACCCACCUGCUAAAACCCGCCCGUUGCGGGUAAUUUUACCCAUUGCGGGCGGGUUUAGUAUUAUAAAUUAAAACCCGCGCAUGGAUGUGGGUGGGUUUGGUAUUAACCUUAUAUCCGGUGGAUACCCGCAUGGAUAUCCACCAAACCCGCAAUAUUUUUUUUCAAAUAUUUUUAAUUUAAUUUAAAUAUAAAAAUGUAUAAAGAAAAUAAUGUCAUUAAUCAAAUUACCAAAUAGACAAAGGCUCAAAGUUGUGUAUGUGUGUAUGUGGCCCAUCUCUUAUUCUAAAGUCAUAACCUAAAGAAAACUAAAGGCAUUUCCCUUCGAAUUAGUAUUUGAAAAUAUUAAUCUUAAUUAUUAUUAUAGGCAUUGUGUUGGAUGGGUGCUUAUGGUGGUGAAUGAAAUGAAUAUCUUCUCUUGGAUCUUGUUUUAAAUGAUAAUAUGAAAUGUAAUUAUUAUUUUUAGAUACUAGUUUGUGUUUUUAAAAUAGAUUUGUGUAAUUUAUACUUACUUUUGAGAAUUUGUAUUGAAUUGAUGUGGAAAUUUUAAUUUUUCAUUGACAUUGUUUAAAUAUAAAAUUGAGUAUGCUAUUUGGAAUUUGAGGUUAUUAUUAUAAAUUUAUAUAUUAAAUAUUUGUGAUUUUAAAUACGAAAACCCGCAAAAAAUCCGCCGGAUACUAUUGCGGGUUUGGUAAUUAUUAAAACCCGCUGCGGGUGGGUUUUUAAAAAAAAAUUAAAACCCGCGGCGGGUUGCGGGUGGGUUUGGUAAUUUAAAUUUUGUGCGGGUUUGGGUUUGAUAAUGGCAAAUCCGCUGCGGGCGGUGCCCAUUGCCAUCCCUAGUCCCAAAUCACAAAGUGUCUUGCCACUGUAUUUAGUUCCUAUGGAACAACGAAUUGUGAAACUUCCUGGAUCAUUCAACUUCUGAGGCAUUUUACUCUGAAGCAUAUGGCUGAAUUCUUGUGUUAGACCAACUAUUUCAAAUUCUCCGAGCCUCAUUUUCCUUGCCAAUAUACAUUUCCAAAACUUUACAUAAUUUGGCAUUUGUUCUAAUGCUUCUACAAAAGGAAUGUUGAUAUGCAGUUAUUUCAAUACUUCCAAGAAUUUACUGAACUGCUUGUCUUGCUUUCGCUUUUGAAAUCUUUGUGGGAAGGAUGGUGGAUGUGUAAAUUGUUGUACUGCAGCAGACUAUACAUAUUGCUUUUCUCUUGCUCUAUUAUGGUAUGAUAUUGUUGGUGCUGCAGCUUCUUCCUCAACAAGCACUGAAUCAUGUUUUUUUUGCAGUUGCUAUAACUUAGCAACUCUCACCAGUGUGCUGGAAAAUGGGUUGUUGUGUCUCUUCUUUAAUUUGAGUUUCCCCUUGGGUUGAAUUAGGUUCCACUCUUCUUUUUAGUACUUUAACAAGUAUAUGAACAUCCUUUCCAGACCUUAAGUUAAUCCCCUUACAAUGCUCUUUUCCUUCCCUCUUUCGAUCCUCUGUAUUGUUUAGUAAAUUGUCCUGAGGUAUGUUGCUCAAUGUUGUAGCAAGCUGUCCAAUCUUAUUCUCCAAGUUUCUUAAAAAUACAGCUUGGCUUUAGACCACUACUUCAAUCUUCACAAUAUACUCCUUAAUCAGAGUUUCAAUGGAACUAAAUUGAUCAUUACUGGUGUUUCUUUACCCUUAAAAUUUCUGGUGAAAAUCAGGUGGUUGAGCAAGUCAGUUCUGUCCACUGGAUGCUGCAGCAUGCUGAUUCUGAUUGCUCCUUUUAAAAUUUGGGUGAUGUCUCCAUCCUAGGUUAUAGGUGUUUGAAAAUGGAUUGCUUUGAUUUUGUUUAUUAAAAUUGCCCACAUAAUUGACGGAAACUGAAUUCCUAGGACAAUUAUCAUAUAGAUGUCCCUCUCCAUAAUAAACACAAGAGACUUCAGCAAUUUGGUUAACUGUUGUUGGAGCAGUGGCCGUUGCUUUUACCAUAUUUGUCAAUGAGGUUACUUGGGCUGAUAAUGUUGUCAGUGCAUCCACAUUGUGUACUCCUGCUGCUCCUCUCACUAUGGCUUGUCUAGUUGAUGGCCAUUGAUAGUUAUCCUUUCCAAAAUUUCAUAAGCCUCAUUAUAUGAGUUAAACAAUAAAGCCCCUAGUUAUUGAGUUCAACCCAUUGUAGAAAGUUUCCAAUUGUAUGCAAUAAGGAAUACCAUGAUGAGGGCAUCUCCUGAGUAACUCCUUGAAUCUUUCUCAUGCAUCAUACAAGCUUUCAUCUUCAAGUUGAUGGAAAGAUGUGAUCUCAUUCUUCAACUUUGCAUUCUUUGUUGGUGGGAAAUAUUUCAUCAAAAUUUUGUCAGCCAAAUAAUUCCAUGUGGUGAUGGAGUCUGGUUGCAAAGAACUCCACUGUACCAACUAAAAUUGAUUUCACAAAACACAAUAAGCACCAAUCCCUGGCAACGGCGCAAAAAACUUGUUGUCGAUUUUCUAAUGUUAUUAGUGUCAAUGUGAAAAUGUACACAACAAGUAAUAUAACGAUAAGUAUUCACUCCACAAGGAUUAUUAUUAUAGGAAUUGCUACAGUAAUUCUAUCAGUGCCAUUCUUAUUAUAAAUUAGAAUUUAAACAAAUUAUUCAACUAAUGAACUAAGGCAGAUCUUAUUGGGCUAGUCGGCAAUGUGUUGCUUUAGGUCAUGUGGAAUAGUUGCGGGAGUGAUCUUGCAUGAUGUGUGGAGCUAUAACAGUGCUGAGCAUGGGCCAAUCUAUGGGCUUAUGGAACUAGCGAACCUAAUCUAGAAUUUCGAGGAAGAGUACUCUGGUUAGUACUCUAAAUUACCUUAUUAUAUUUUGCACAAACAGAGGCAUGUUAGUGAAAUAAUAUCUAAGCAACCCAAGAGGGGGGUGAAUUGGGUUUCUAAAAAUUAUGCAAUUCUUAAACAAAACUUAAUGCAAAUCUUAAACGAAUUUAAAGUAAUAAUAAAUAAAUCAACCAAAGUAUAAAAAGAUAAGGGAAGAUAGAUUAAAAAACAGAGAGUUUUACGUGGUUCGGCCAACCUUGCCUACAUCCACGCCCCCAAGCACACCGAGCUUGGGCAUUCCACUAGUCAAGCCUUCAAGGCUUCAAGAACACUUACAAUUGACUUCUUAGGUGUCAAUCAACCUUUACAUCUAGAGAUUAUCCUCAAUCUCUUAACCCAAGUGUAUCCCAACAUUUACAAUCACUCAAAAUAAAGAUUACAAAUUUAUUUUUCUCUCACACAAUUUUUUAAGAUUACAAAUCAACGCUUAAUGUGUGAAUAAAUGAACAAGAAUGAAUUUGAAGCUCAAUGAAUGUUGUAUUCUCGAUUAUAAGCUCAAUGAUAACGUUGUGAUAAGCUCUUGUUUGAAUUUGAUUGAGCUUAUUUAUAGUUAGAGUUGAAAAAUAGCCAUUGUUGACUUUUUCCCGAAAUUGGAUCGCCGUUAACCGUUAUCGGUUAACCGUUUUGACUGGUCCAAGUGACCGUUGAGCUGAAUUUCAAAUAAACGGUUGAUCUUUUGACACUAUCGGUUUGCUAUUAAUUUCCAUAAACCUGUAAAACAAAUUUAUGCUAUCCGUUCUUGCUAAACGGUUGAAGGUCAGCAUGGAAUAACAUUCUAGAAAUUAUUGGUUGGCCGUUUGAAGUUCACGGUUCACCGUUUACUUCUAGAAUCACAGUUUUAACCAAAUUUCGCAGGGAAUGCUUUUUCGGUUAAAGUUAACGAUUAUCCAUAUUUCAUGAACACAUUUAGAAAAAUCAUACGACUUUUGAGAAAUUGUUUAGUAAUGAAAACUCUAACAUUUUAAUCAAAUACAUUUAAAGUUUGUUAUCAUCAAAAUCAAUAUAAUGAACAUCUACAUGUUAACAGUUAGGCCUUGAUUAUUUUUUAAAUCUUAUAAGAUAUAUUGUGAUAAUAGUAACUCAAUUUUCAUAAAACGUGGAAAGAUCAGUCGCCAAAUUUAUAGAUGCCAUAGAAAAUCUAGAUUUUAGUAAGGAAUAUCAAGUUAUUUAUACAAUGAAAAUUGUUAAAACUCGAUUAAUUGCAAGGAAACACUUUUAGAGAGAUAUGGAGAGAAUAAACUUUGAAGAUAACAAUGAAAUACAUGACACAUUUAAGGAAGAAAAUAUAAUAGUAUUAAUAGAAUCUAUUUUAACCGGUCUUAAGAUCAUUCAAGAUUGAUGCAAAAUAAAUAACAGGACUCUAAACCGUCCAUAAUAAGUCUAUUGAUUAAUAAUAACAAUAAUAGUGAUGUGAAAUUUUUUAUUCAGAAUGCUCAAUUUAGAUUAUAAUAUCUAUGUGAAAGCAUUGAUGGCAUGUACCUUGGUUAGGAAAAUAGAUUGGACACAUGGAUAUAUAUGUUGGAAGAACAAAUCUAGUUUAUAUCUCAAGAGAGAUAAUAAAUUAUAAAUGACGGUGCUAUAGUAUAUUCAGAUUUUAUAAAUCUUUAUAAAUUUAAUAAUCAUUUAGAUCUUCAUAAUAUUAUAAUAAAACUUUAAAAAUAUAUGUAGAAGAGAUGGAAGAAGAAAUCAUCCAGUUAUUCAAAAUCAAUUAAACAAAAAUAGAAGGUAAAAUCCUUGAAUUAUAUAAAUUAUACAAUUUCACAGAAAUUUUGCAUAUAUUGUGAAACGGUCCUUGUGGCACUAAUUAUGGGACUAGUGUAGCAUAAAUACUAAUAUUGCUUUUUAUUUUGUAAAUUAAUUGUUGCGUCAUAAUGUUUUUACAUGCACAUUUUUUGUUUUAAAAUAUGAAUUUUUUUUUUUGUAUUUAGGGUUAAUUUUACAAUUUCAUACUUUGUUCAAUUAUAUGUACAGGUCCUUAACGUGUUGGUUGAUGUUGAAUAUUCAAAGAUCCACAAGCUAUCAACGACAACGAAUCAAAUUAAACUAAUUAGUUAAUACAUAAUGACUGGGUUGUUUCCUAUGUUGUUAAUGAUGUAGGACGUUAUUUUAGGAUUUUAGAAUUUUAAUUUUUAGGUCUUCUGAUAUUUUCUUUUUUAAUUAAAGUCAGUGUCUUAGUUUUUUAUUUAUUUAUGUUAUAAUUAUAAUUUACUUUCUCUUUUUAAGUUAACUUAGGAAAAUAUAUUUACUGUAUUAUAAAUAAAGAGACCUUGUUAUUACUUUAUAACUUCAACUUCAGUUAUUCAAUUAAAAACCCCUCUUUUAUAAUUUCCUUUUGUAUUAUCUAUUAAAAACCCCUCUUUUAAAGUUGUUUGAUUAGAGCAUCAUCUAGCCUUGCUUAACGCAGUAUUAAAAAUCCCUUUGAGUUUAAUCACACUUCGAUUAGAGCGUAACUUAAUCGCAUUGACUUGGUCCAGUACUUGAACGAUAUCUAGUGUUUUGCUUCCGCUAUGCCCAAGGAGAAAAUUAAUUUCACCGUGAGAUAAGAGCAUUAAAAGGAAUUCAUAAGAAAUUGGGAAAAUAUCCACCGUCCACCUGAUUUUGUCCACUUUUUUAAAAAUACACAAAUCUUAAUUUUUUUUGCUGCGCUACACCUAAACUUAUUUUUUUUUUCACAUUUCCACCUCCGUUUGCAAACCGUCAAAACGUUGCUGACGUCAUAAGGAUAAAAUAAUAAUUUCACUUGGGCUUCAAAAACAACUUCGUUUAAGAUCUGUAAUUUAACCUUUUCGUUUGAUUCUGGAGUAAGGUUGGCCCUACAAACCGGGCAUGUCACGUGAGAGGCUAAGUAGAGUGGGCUCUGACCGAAAAACUAAAUUUUUAUCUAUUUUGUGUAAAUUUACUGAUUAACCACCUCGAAUUCAAUAAUAUUUGUUUCAACCCAAUUAAAUAAUAUUAUAACCCCUGCCGACCCAUAAAAUCAUGGUUCCACGCACUAUAACCAUAUAAAAGGGCUUUAUUAAAACAAAACUGCAAUUAAGAUCAUUUAUCAAUUAAAUUAAGUAGUAAUUAAGACUUUGAUGGUGGAUUCUAUUAAUUGUUUCAAAGGAGUGUCGGAUUUGUCUUCUUUCUAUUGUUUUUUCAACUUUCAGAUAACAAAUUAACAUUAACACAUACCUAGCUAAAAAAGGAAACAAGUGAAGUAAUAUAAUGUCAACUAGGAAUAGGUCUAGUGCUUUAACCAACACCUUCAGAUACCUUAAUUUGAUUUUUUAAAAAUCAAAACAAAUUAAUGAAUUAAAACAUUAUAAUACUCCAAAUGUACUUAUGAAGUAACUUAAUUUAUUAUCGAUAAAAAAAAAAUUUAAUAACAUAUUAAUAUUAUUUAGUUCUUCAUGGUCAGUCUUUUUCUAAUGUGAAAUUUUGACAUUCACAAGAAAUUAUAGAAUACAUCAGAGAUAUCGUGUCAAUCAUACAACAAAUAAUUGAUGUUAUAAUAUAUGUGCAUUUAUUUUAACAAAUUACCAUGCAAGUAAUUGUUAUAUUAAAUUCAAUUAUUCAUAUUAUACAUACAUUAGUUAGUUGUAUUACCUUUAAUGAAUAAAGUUUUGAGAAGUGUGCUCAAAUCUUUUCGACCAUGAGGUCAUUACCAUUAGAGGUAUGUCUUGUUACAUCAAUAAAAGUCAUCACUUUCCUUUUGGUAAAUCAUCCAUUAAGAGUUCCAGACCAUUAGAGAUUAUAUAUUCUAAUGUAUGGGGUCCUGCUCUUAUUACUUCCAUUGAUGGUUUUAGAUAAUACAUUAUUUUUAUUAACCAUAUUACUAAAUAUGUCUGGCUCUAUCCUUUACGUAUUAAAUCAUAUGUUUUCUCAACAUUUAAUUCAAUAUAAAAAUGUAGUUGAAAAAUUUUUUCACACUAAGAUUGCUUCAGUAUAUACUGAUGGUGGUGGUGAAUUUAUUAAAUUAAAACAAUUUUUCAAUCAAACAGGAAUCUCUCAGUUACUCACACCACCAUAUACAUCUCGACUAAUCAUGAUCUUUCCGUUGUUUGGAUUGUAAAGCUUGUAUCCUUUGGAGUUGUUGUCAUAGCCGAUUCAGAUGAACUUCUCACUUUUGUCAUCCAGCUUAGCUCUUCUUUCGUCUGGUAUAUGUACAUGGGCAAUGCUUCCAAAACUCUUAGAUGGGUGAUGCCGGGCUUUCUUUCACUCUAAGCUUCUUGUGGCGUCUUGCCCCACACACUUCUUGUUGGAGAUUGAUUGGAUAAGUAGACUGCACAUGCAACAACUUCAGCCCAAAAUUCUUUAGGUAGCCUCUUACUCUUGAGCAUGCUUCUUGCAAUGUCGAGGAUGGUUCUGUUAUUCCUUUCCUCAACACCAUUUUGUUAGGGGGAUCUUGGAACUGUCCAAGGGCGUCAAAUUCCAUUUAUUUUAAAAAACUCUACAAAUUCUUUGGAAGUGAACUCUCCACCUCAAUUAUAUCUCAUGGCUUUAAUCUGGUAUCCACUUUCUUUUUCAACUACUGCUUUAAAAUUUUUGAAAGCUUUAAAAACUUUUGAUUUAAAAAAAAAAACACCUAAGUUUUCCUGAAAAAUCAUCUAUGAAGAGAAGGAAGUAGUUACUUUUACCAAGGGAGCUUGGCUUGAAUGGACCGCACACAUCAGUAUAAAUGAGCUCAAGUGGCUUCUGAGCUCUUGAGUUUGACUCCUUUGGAAAGCUCUUUCUGAACUGCUUGCUAAGUAAACAUCCUUCACAAAGUUAUUUGGUGGCUACCAUCUUUUGCACAAAAAAGAAUGUUACCUCUACCCUUUACUGGUACUUUUGAAUCAUCUCCAAAAGAGACACUGCCAUUUACAGAUUCAUUUAGUUCCACGAACAUGCUUCUGUUUCCGCUCAUAUGAUUGCUAGCACCUGUGUCAAGAUACCAUGUAUUUUCUUGACCUCCACUUGUGUCAUUGCGUGCUAGUAAAAGGGUUUCAUCUUCACCAUUUUUCUCUUCAACACAAUUCACUCUCUCAUCAAUUCUGGUAGUUGCAGCUCUACAUUCUGAAGCAUAAUGCCCAAACUUUUGACAAUUAUAGAAUUAUACUUGAGAUUUGUCAUACCUCGAUCUUGGAUUGCCUUUUCAUCGUCCUCUGGUUGAGCUUUCUCCUUCGGCAUAAUUGGAGUUGUUGUUCUUGAAAUUCCAACCUCAUCCAUGACCACGACCUCUACCUCGUCCUCGACCUCUACCUCGGACAUAAUGCCUUCUCUCAUUGUCGGAGCUUUCUUCUAUUUUCUUUGGAUUGACUUCUAUAUUGAGAAGUUGUUCUUUGAUUCCUUACUUCUUUUCCAGUUUUUCUUCAUAAGCUUGCAACCUUCCUUAAAAUUGCUUGAUCGUCAUAUCUUACAGAUUUUUUGUUUCCUCAAUUGUCACAAUAAUAUGGUCAAACUUCGAGUUUACUGAUCGAAGUAUCUUUUCAAUGAUCCUUACCUCUUUUAACUCCUCGCCAUUUCUUUUUAAUUUAGAGGAAACGGUCAUAACCUGAGUAAAGUAGUAAAAAAUUGACUAUAAUGCCUUCAUGUGUAAAGACUCAAAUUUUCCUCGUAAUGUUUAGAGAUGAACCUUCUUAACUUGGUCCACUUCUUUAUAAGAGAUCUCUAACUUCUCUUAUGCUUCUUUUUAAGAGAUUGCACUUGCAAUCUAUCUUCAUCUAAUGAUUGAAAGAUGAGAUACUUUGUUUUAUUCUCUUUCUUCUUCAAGUUUUUUAAAUUCUCCUUCUGUGCUGCAGUUAAAGUGGCUUCAUUUUCUGGCAGAAUAAAGUCUUUUUUCAUGACAUCUCAUACAUCAUGUGCACCCAAUAGAGCCUUCAUUUUAAUACUCCAGUUGUCAAACUUACUCCCCUUUAAUUGUGGAACUUAAAAUGACAUCAUACCACUAUUUGCCAUAACUCACAAAUUGACUGAGAAUUUGGAGAUUCUGAGUGGAUGGAUGGAACCGGCACGUCGAAAAACCUUGGAAGGGACUCAAGUCAACUUUCAGUCAAUGGUCAACACCGAUCAACGAUCUACGUCAGUCAACGGUCAACGUCGGCUUAGUUGACUUGGUUCGGUCCGGCUUGGUUCGGUUCGAGUUGGCUUGGUUUGACUUGAUUCGGUUCGGCUCAGCUCGACUUGGUUCGGUUUGGUUUAGCUUAGUUCAACUCGUUGAGUCGACUCAGCUUCAGAACAGAAAACUUCCGGUGGCUAGUACAGGUGCAUCUGAUCUCUUAUCGGGCUGAGUUUUAUGGCGUCGCGUUCCUCUUGUCGAGAUAUUCGAUUUGAUAUGUUAUAUGACUAUAUAUAACAUUGAUCACUAGCUCUGAUACUACUUUGUUGGAGAAUCAACAAAUUAAACACUAAAAAAACACUCUAUUUUAUUUCUUCAACAACACUCCUCAACUACAACUCUUAUUUUUCACUCUCUACAACUUAGAGAUUUUGUUACUUCACUUGAUGCAUAACCAAAUGACACAAGGGGGUAUUUAUAGUAUAUGAGAAGAAAUCUAAACUAUUCAAAUAAGAAAUUACAAAAAAUUAAUAACCAUUCAUCUUCACCUACUAAACCUACCACACCUAAAAUAAAUAAUUCAAACCUCACCAACCAUACCUACUCAUGGAACCUUCCAUGGGUUGGGCUUAUUAAUUUGUUUUUGAAUUUUUUUUUUAUCUUGGAUCAAGUCUAUGAUCCAACAAAAUUAACCACAAUAGUUUAUGGAAAACAAAUAAAUAAAAUUACACUAUCACAAAAUUUAGGUUGCAUGUGUAGUGCUAUAAAUGCACACCUGUUAGAGUAUUAUAAAAAAAUAAAGCAUCGCUUAGUUUGGCAUUAGAUUCAAAUACAUGUGCAUAAAUCUUUGUGUUUUUAUACAAAUUAAUAAAAGCACUCUGGUUGAAGUUGAAAGAAAUUUAGAUUUAUUGCAAAUAGAUGUAGGCAAUCAAAAAAACUAGAAUUAACAACUUAAUUAAUUUUCGUAAAUAUUGGUCAUCGUUACUGUUUACCGUUACUGUUCUUUGGCAUUGUUCAUGGUUACUGUUCAUCCGCAUCACGAAUAUAAGUUUCCAAAAACACAAUAAAUUGCAGAAAUUAAAUGACGCGGAGAUUUUUACGUGGUUCAGAUUAAUCAAUCCUACAUCCAUGGGGUUACGCCCAAGUGAAAAGUAAUUCAUUAAGUUGAGAUGUUAUAACCUAUGGAUUUAUCAAACUUAAAACUCUCAUUUACAGUUUAUCACCAUACAAUUUACUCAACCUUAGAGUGAAUAUGCUUCUCUUGAAUAAUUACUACCCCUCUUGAUCCACGAUCCUUAAGACACUUUGUAAAGUGAUCAAUAGGAAUUUUUUAAUAUCCAGUGAUCCAAGAUCCACAUAGACUCUUCAUAAAGAUGAAAAGAAGAUAAGAAAAUAAAUCAACACAACAUUAUGCACAAAAUUUGAAUUCUCUAGGGAGGAGACCGAAUUUUGCUUCUUUGUUUUAUGUCAAAUUCCUCACUGCUUGUCCUAAGGACUGUAAUAAUAAAUGGUACUCAGCAUAACAUAUGAUACAAGUUAGAAUCAACAGUAAAAGGGUUAAUCAAACCAUUGACUUAAAUCGAGUCUAUAAUGACUGUAAUCCUGAAUUAUUUGAGCCUAAAGCUCUUACCAGCAAAUGGGUAGUUGAGAUGAAAGUCCUCUAUAAACAACUUGAACGAAUAAGUAAAGAAUAAAAUAUGGCUUCACCAAGUCAUGACAGAAAAUAUAAGCAAAAAAGAAAACAUUUUAGCCAAACAAGCCAUCUUGAAAAAGAAGAAGGCAAUAUAUGAGAAUCUUGUGGAAUCUAGCUUACUAACACACCAUAGGAUAUGCAAGGUGCUUAAGCAUUGUGGCUUUUGCUAUAAAAAAUCAAAAGAAGAAUUUAGCGAGAAAAGACAUGUCACUAGAUGAAGAGCUUGUACUUAGUAUGUGAUAGGAGACCACUAAAAAGAUAAAAGAUGCUAGCUAAAAGCAUCAAUAAUUCAUAGAGAAUCCAAGGGAAAAGAUAAGGCUUAUCAGAAUCCUUACCUCAACCAUAUGAAGACUGUUAACCAUAAAAAAAAGAAGACAAUAGUUGUCUUCAAUAAUGCAAGGGGAAGGGUUAGCUUGUUUCUAGGAAGUCUACCAUGUAACAAGUGCUAUGUAAAAAAAGAUAAUCUCAUCUCUAAAAUCCAUAUGUGUCCUAUAAGAAGGGAUUAUGUUAUCUGUUCAAGUCUAUAAAUAGGGUCAUGUUAGAUAGGAGAUGUAUAACUCACGAAUAUACUCUUAUUCCCAUCUUUAUUCUCUCUUUAAAUUCAUAAAUAAAUUGAAAAAAAAAAACUCUUUUUGAGUGAAAUUAUCAUCUUUAUAUCUAUCUUAUUUAGACUUGAGAAAAAAAAUCAAGAAUCUUACAUGCCAACACUUGUGUUAAAUGAAAAAGAUUUCAUUUUAUUAAGCACUCUUCUAAAGGCAAUUGCAAGGGAUUCACAUAGAUAGAUCUUAUUAGGCAAGUCUGUAGUGUGUUGCAUUAGGCCGUGUAGAACAGUUACAGAAGUGAUCUUGCAUGAUGCGUGCAGCUAGAGCGAUGUUGACCAUGGGCCAAUCUAUGGUCUCGAGUUAUUAGCGAAUUUAUUCCCGAAUUUUGAGGAAUAGUACAUUGGCUAGUACAUGGAAUUAUCUUAUUAUAUUUUGGACAAACAGAAGCAUGUUAGACCUAGAUUAUCUUUUAGAUCUUACAAGAUAUAAAGUGAUAAGUGUAACUUAAUUUUCAUAAAACGUUGAAUGAUAAGUCAAGAAACUUCUAGAUGCCACAGAUAAUCUAGACUUUAGUUAGGAAUUUAAGUUAUUUAUGCAAUGGAAAUUGUUAAAACUCGAUUAAUUGCAAGCAAACGCUUGUAUAAAGACAUAAAGAAAAUAAACUUUGAAGAUAACAAUGAAAUAUAUGAGACCUUUUAGGAAGAAAAUAGAAUAACAUUAAUAGAAUCUAUCUAACCAAUCUUGAAAAAAUUUAAAACAGAUGUAAAACAAAUAACAGGACUCUAAACCAUCCAUAAUAAGUCUAUUGAUGGAUAAUAACAAUAAUAAUGAUGUGAACUUUUUGAUUGGGAAUGCUGAAUUUAGAUUACAAUACCAAUGUGAAAGGAUUGAUGGCAUGUACCUUGGUUGGGAAAAUAGAUUGGACAUCUCUAUAGAUUUGUUGGAAGAAAAAAUCUAGUUUAUGUCUCAAGAGAGACAAGAAAUGAUGAAUGCCGGUGCUAUAAUAUAUGAUGAUUUUUAUGAAUUUGAUAAUCAUUUAGAUCUUUAUAACAAUAUAAUUAAAACUUCAAAAAGCUUUAAAAAUAGAUGCAGAAGAGAUUGGAAAAAAAAAAUCGUCUAGUUGUUCAAAACCAAUUAAACAAAAAUAAAAUGUGAAAUCCUUGAAUUAUAUAAAUUAUAUAAUUUCACAAAAAAUUGUGCUUUGGUGCUUAGUAUGGGUAAUUAGUGCGGUAUAAAUGCUCAUUUUUCUUUUUCUUUUGUAAAUAAAUUAUUGCAUCUUAAUUUUGUUACAUGUUACGAAUUUUGUGUUUUAAAAUACGCAAUUUUGUUUUCGUAUUUUGGGUUAAUUUUAUAAUUUCGUACUUUGUUCGACUAUAUGCACAGGUCCUUAACAUGUUGAUUGAUGUUGAAUAUAUAUUCAAAGAUCCACAAACUACCAAUGACAACAAAAGAAAUUAAACUAAAUAGUUAAUACAUAAUGAUUGGGUUGUUUUUACUACUUGUUAAUGAUGUAGGACGUUAUUUUAAGAUUUUAAGAUUUUAUUACUUUAGCCAUUUGAUAUUUCUUUUUUUAAUUAAGGUGUGUGUCUUAAUUUUUUUAUUUCUAUUAUAAUUAUGAUGUAGUUUCCAUUUUUAAGUUAACUUAGGUUAGUAGAUUUACUCUAUUAUAAAUACAGAGGUCUUGUAAUUAUUUUUGUAACUUCAACUUCAAUUAUUCAAUUAAAAACUCCUAUUUCAUAAUUUCCUUUGCUAUUAUAUAUUAAAAAUCUCUCUUGUAGAGUUGUUUAGAUUAUAGCAUCAUCUAACUUUGCGUAAUGCAAUAUUAAAAAUCCCAUUUAGUUAUUUGAAUUAGAACGAGAUCUAAUAACACUUCGAUUAGAAUGUAACUUAAUUGUGUUGUCUUGAUUCAGUACUUAAACGAUGUGUAGUGUUUCUCUUCCGCUACGUUGCUCCGUCGAUUAACAUUUCUAGGGGAAAAUUAAUUUCACCGUGAGAUAAGAGCAUUAAAAGGAGUUCAUAAGAAAGUAAAAUUAAUGCUAUGUUAAAUGUAUCGCAAGCUACUUAUUUUUCUGGAAAUUGAAACGAUUAAUUAACUACGAGGUGAAAAUAAAUAAAUAAAUGAAUAUGAAGUUGAAAAUAAGUCUCGCCGCCUGGACCCAAGGCCAAAACAUUCAUGAUAAGUUAGGUAAUUAAAUACAUGUUUCAAGCUACAUGUUUUCAAUCUCUUCAUGAAGAAUGAUGAUAUUGAAGUAAAUCACAGAGACUUGCUGUUCAAAUCAUUACUUUGAUACAAAAAAUGCCAUAUCAUUAAAAGGAUCGUGACUUUUAAUUACUUUAUUCCCUGUUUGGGCAACAGCUAGCCACUAAAGAAAAUCAUAAAAUUUUAUGUUUAGUCAAAUUUGUGCCAACCUGAUGACACCGUUUUCAUCAUUUGGUUACUAAUGUUUAACAUCAAGGUUAUAUAUGACAAGUUUGGUAGAGCAGGUGAAAAGCCUAAGUCUAUAUAAGGAGGGGAAGGAGCUUGGUUUAUAGCACAACCGAAACUCCACUUUGCAUUGAACGAUGGGGUCUCAAACGGGCUAUCUCUUUGCCACUCUUUUGGUAAUAUCAGUCUCUCUUAGCCACUUGCCAUUAGAAGCCUCCGCAAACAAUUACUACUACACAUCUCCUCCCCCACCAAAGAAAUAUCCACCACCACCACCUCCCCCUCCCCAGUACAAAUCUCCACCACCCCCGCCACCGGUUCACAAGUCUCCACCACCACCCCCGGAUUACAAGUCCCCGCCACCUCCUCCACCAGCCUGCGAGCCUGCUCCGCCACCAACUCCAAUUUUCCCUUCUCCGCCACCUCCUGUCCCCAAGUUCUCGCCACCACCGCCUCACCCUUACGUCUAUGCAUCUCCCCCUCCUCCUUACUACUACUAGAAAGCGGCCAUGAAUAGCUCAUGCUUUUAUGGUAAUCUCAUUUAUUUUUAAAACUGUACAUGUAAAGACUAGUAGUUCAAAAUUACAUUAAGCAUUUCAAUUUUAAGCACCGUGUUCUGUUUAAUUGUGUUCCUAGUGAUUAAGUGACAAAUAAAAGAGACUGAUGAAUUUGUUCUUGUAGGAGAGGCGAAUGGUAUCCGAAUAAAGAAAGGGUUUGAUGAAAAGCUUACUGAGAGCAAGAUAGCGGUCGACCGAGUUGCCGCGUUUGAUUCUUUUUUGUCUUUUAUUUUUAAUGAAGAAUAAACAGCCACAUGUAGAAACAGAAAAGUUCUUGUCAUUUUCAUGCUUGUGGAUUGUUGCUGUGCGUGUCAAUCGAAUCUCUGGUGCGUCUUUUGUAAUUUUCAACUUUUAUACUUGCAAAUGCGAGACCUUUUUCGUAUAAUAAAAUUAAUAUACUUCGCAAGAUGGUCUUAUCAUGCGUUAAACUUUAUGUUCCUUUGGUGAUGAUUGUGACGUUUAAAAUUGAUGACUAUUGUUUUUGUAAACUCUGCAUGGAUUUUUCGUGCAACUAUAGAGCGCAUUGACGAGAGUCUUAUCCAUGAGGGUCCAUGUAGAUCAGUGUCUAUUAACCAAUAAUUAAUAUAACUUAAAAAAUAUAGUUAAUCAGUCAUGCUCGAGUGCAAAUGUUGGUACAAAAUUUCGUGCCAAUGUGUACUUGAGUAUGAUUAUAAGUUUUAAUCAUUAUUAAUAAUUCAACCAACAAGUGCAUAGAUCAACUGGCGUGGGGUUGUUCUAACUUAACCAAGGUUCUCGGUUCGAAACUUGGGAAUGCAGCUGCGUUAAAUACUUGUUGGGAGAGCUUUGCCGCCCUAGUGGUCCUACCCGACUCGAAUCUGAAUUAGUUCAGGCCCAAUGUGGUCUUCAGAUACCAGAUGGUUUAAUACACCGAAAAAAAUAAUUCACUUGAUAAUAUUAAACAAAAUUUCACAUCAAUUAAGUUAUAAUAUUGAUUACCUUAUAUAUUUAGUGAUUUUGUAUUUAAAUUGAAUAAUGAUAAUUUUGGUUUCAUAGGGAAAAUGACUAACGCACACCAAAUGUUUAAGGAAAGGGACAUGAAAGUCCCUAACAUUUUAGAAAAGACACUUAAACCCCAAAUUGUUAAUAAAUUCUGUUAAUUUUAACAGAUUUUUUUUUUUCAACUUAUAAUUACUAUUAUCUCCCUAAAACAUACAAGUCAAUAUAUUAACUUGUCAUUUUGCCCAUUAAUUAUUAAUAAAAUUAUGAAUAUACCCUAAUUUAUAAGGUUGAAAUGCAUGUAACAUAUCCAAAGUCCCUACAAAUUAGAAUAGGAGUUAAACACCGCACACAGAUACUAAUGACAUUUUAAAAUGGAAUGGAGUUAUUACCUUAACUAAUCCUUGUGUAACGGAUUCCAAAAGCCUUUUAUUGCUACCAAUACCAAAUUAGUCCAAAUCUCCCUUUGUCUGGAGACCAAAUAAUACAGUAAGGCAAGCUUGAGGUUCAUCACGCAGCACAUCUCCAAUCAGCAUCGGAGCUCCAUUUCUCUGUCUCCUAAACAGCACUUCACAAGUUAUUCCUGUUCACUCUUUCAGGACUAUCAGUAGGGCAGUAAUCUCCAUGUCUACGAUGGGAAGAUUGCCCUGGAGUUGGGAUGUUUUCAGGAAAUACAAACCCUAAAGAAGUGACCGGCCUUAAUCAAUUGUUGGUUCCAGGGAUAAUUAGGGUACAAAUGGCACGGCUUCAGGAGCGAUAGAUGGAUUAUAAAUGCAUUGGACCUCAUAAGGGCGAUCUUAAGCAGUCUUGGGAGUGGGACUAGAACUACGAUAGUGUUAGGCUUCAGAUGGUUGCUCUUGGCGAAGAUUAGCCGGAGCAACAAAGGCAGGAUUGUCGGCAGGAUUGUCAAGUGCAACAUUCUUAGCUUGUCUUUGAUUGAGUCACUAACCGAAACCAUCUGAGUGUCAUUUUUAUCAGCAGGACCAGUCAGAAAUUCAUCCUCAAAUGUUUUCUUGAUUGAAAAGUAGCUUUGUCAAUGACUCAAUCAGCAGUGUCAAAAUCAAAGAAAUCACUUUCCCUUAUCUUAAAUUUUCUCCACGAAGAAAGAUGAUCCAAAGGAGAAAUCUUCAUGCAUUUUUCAGGAAAAAGUGUAUCAUCCGAGUAACCCCAGAGAAAGAAGAACUCAUCAUGGUUAGUUAAUGUUGUUGAUAAUUUCAUGUACUAGCAUAGACCAGAAAGCACUUAAUUCAUGACGAACCUAGAAGAAAGGUUAAAAAACAAUAUAACACACCACUUAUAAAGAAGAGAGGUGGCAGGGAGAGGAAAUAACUAAUUCAGCAAGCGCAUAAGACAUAGAAGAUAAUAAUGUUACCUUUUGUAGGAUAACUAACUCAAAAGGAUAGGCCUUUGAAGAUCUAGUGACCUGCUUGCUUUCCAGCAAAACUUCCAUGCAUUCAAGCACUGAAUUUGACGUAAAGCCAAGAUUGUAGCCUCCUUCCAAUGCCAAAACAAUCUUGCCUUUUGCAAAAUCCAUCAACUGGAGAAAGAAAAUUACAGAUGUGGAAUGCGCCAAAGACUCGAAAGUCAACCCAAAAUCAGUAGCUUGCAAGAAAAGCCACAAGAUAAAUACAACAAAAUGAAAAUAUUAAACCAUAUCAUCUUGUUGUCAGCCUUAGAAAUUUAGCAUUCCCUCCAUUCUGUGUUCUACAAUUUGAAACAUCAAUAUAAAAAUGCUAAAAUAUUAGAGUAAAGAGAAGAUAAAAUUUGAAUGCUACUCUUUUUUAAUAUAAUUGAAUAUCCAUAUGGUGUGCCCCAACAGUCCCCUAAAGAAUCACCAGUGGCUGUUCUGUUCCAAGCAUUGUGUUAGAAAGAUUUAUCAGAAAAAAAGAUUAAAAAAUAACGAAAGUAGGCAUGUUGGAGUUAUGAAGCUCAAAUAUGAACUUAGGGAUAUGUAUGACACGUCGCUUGUUUGUCAGGAAGAAUAACGACAUGUUGAGCAUUGGAGUUCAGAGCAGCUGAAUGAUACAAACGUUAUGUCGGCUGGAUGUGUUAGUAAUGCACGUGAUGCGUCACAUGUUCCACUAAUUCAAACGGCAGCCACAUCUGCGUUUUAGUUAGCAGAUUGCGUGAACAAUUGACAAGUGUCCCAGAGCAAAUUCAAGAAGUGGUUUUUUCGGUUAGAUCAUGCGGGAGGCAGCUGGAGAUCUUCUUGGUUGGAAACCCAGGAGGUGAUCAGGUUGAUACUCAGCUUUCAACGCCUGUUACAAAACAGGAAGAACAGCAACAACCAGAUGAUCAACACAAGAAUAUCCCUGAACAACCAUCACUUUUAGAACCUCGUCGUAGUGGGAGGGUAACUAGGUUACCUGCGAGAUACAUACUUUUGGGAGAAACUUAUACAGCUAUCUCAGAUGAACAUGUACAAGAUCCCACUAGUUACAACAAAGCUCUAAUAGAUAGAGAUGUUGAAUUUUGGAAAAAGGCCAUGAAUCAAGAAAUGGAAUCUAUGUAUUCCAAUAAAGUCUGGGAACUUGUAGAGGCACCAAAUGGGGUAAAACCUAUAGGGUGCAAGUGGAUCUACAAGAGAAAAAGAGAAGUAAACGGAAGGGUGGAAACAUUUAAAGCAAUAUUAGUAACCAAAGGGUUGUAUUUAGAAAGAGAAAUUGAUUAUGAGGAAACCUUUUCCCCGGUUGCUAUGCUUAAAUCCAUUAGGAUUCUGCUCUCCAUUGCUGCAGUGCUAGAUUAUGAAAUUUGCCAAAUGGAUGUCAAGACUGCCUUUCUUAACGGGCAUCUUGAAGAAAAUAUCUGCAUGCAGCAACCAGAUGGAUUUAUACAAAAAAGGCCAAGAACACAUGGUUUGUAAGUUGCAGAGAUCUAUUUUUGGAUUGAAGCAAACAUCCCAGUCAUGGAACAUCAGAUUUGAUCAAGCGAUUAAAUCGUUUGGAUUCAUUCAGAACAUUGAUGAAUCAUGUGUGUACAAGAAAAUUCAAGAAAAAUUUGUAGCCUUCCUAAUUCUUUAUGUAGACGAUAUUCUCCUAAUUGGAAAUGAUAUAGGAGUAUUGACUACAAUAAAAAGUUGGUUAGCAAAACAAUCUGAUAUGAAAGACCUGGGAGAUGUAAGUUAUAUUCUUGGUAUCAAGUUACUACGAGACCGGAAGAAUAAAAUUUUACCUUGUCUCAAGCAGUCUAUAUCAAUAAGAUAUUGGCUAGAUUUAGCAUGGAAAAUUCCAAGACUGGUUUAUUACCAUUCAAACAUGGAAUUACAUUCUCUAAAGAUCAAUCUCCUAAAACAUCUGAAGAGAUAGAGAGAAUGAGACGAGUUCCCUAUGCAGAAGCUGUGGGAAGUCUCAUGUAUGUCAUGCUUUGCACUAGGCCCGACAUCUGUUUUGCGGUAGGGAUAGUUAAUAGAUAUGAAUCUAAUCCUGGACCUAAACACUGGACUGCGGUCAAGCAUAUAAUGAAGUAUCUGAAAAGAACUAAAAAUUAUAUGCUUGUGUAUUCUGGUGAUGAACUCAUUCCAGUGGGUUAUACUGAUUCUGACUUUAUGUUAGAUAAGGAUUCCAGAAAAUCAACUUGCGGCUAUGUGUUUACAUUAGGAAGUGGAGCUAUUAGUUGGAGGAGUGUGAAACAAUCUUGUAUCGCAGACUCCACAACUGAAGCUAAAUAUGUGGCUGCAUCCGAAGCUGCAAAAGAAGCUGUAUGGCUCUGCAAGUUCCUACAAGAUCUUGAGGUGGUACCUGCUGUAACUGCACCCCUUAAACUAUUUUACGAUAAUAGUGGUGCGGUAGCUCAAUCUAAGGAACCACAAGAAACAAAAACAUAUUGAGAGGAAGUAUCAUCUUAUAAGGAAAUAGUGUAGAAAUGUUAUAUGACAGUGCCCCAAAUGACAUUAGAUGCUAAAUGACAGAUCUUAUUACAAUAGCCAUUAGUGGAAAACCUUUAUAACCUGCACUUAGAGCCCUAGAGCAUGUGCAAUAUGCCAGAUAUGCUUUAAGAGCUAGUGGGAGAUUGUUGGAAAAAUAUGCUCUUUAAAAGCAUAUGUGUUUAUUUAAUUGUAAUAAACAAUUUUUCUGAUUAAUAAAAUAAAUGAGGUAUUUUAUUCAAAUAUCUUAAUUGCAUUAAUAUUUUUAUUAAAGUCCAUUUAAUCAUAUUAUAUGUAUUUAUGUGAUCACCAUGUGGAUUCACAGAAGACAUAAAUACAAGUUAUCUUAUGAUUAAAUAAAUUUAGUUCGCAGUUGAUAAAUAAAGUUGGGCACUUUAUUUAGGUAUAGACUGUAAUAAAUUUAUUGAAUGAUUUGUCUUAAUCAUGUAUGAAUUUAUUGAUGUAGUACGACUACAUUGAACAGGAUCACAUAUGAGAUUUAAUUAUAACUGUCAGACUUAUUAAAUCUCAUAGGCAUUGAUUUUACUGUAAUCUUAAUAUUGAGUUAAUUAUGAUUUCAUGAUUGUAAUUGUUAUUCCAUUUGAGUUACCAAUGGGCACGACAUAUACUUGUGGUCAAGAUUACCCAGUAUCUUGGUGGGAGCAAUUAUGAGUAUUGGAGUUAUGGAUUAACAAUAUAGAAUUUGUACAACACAUCUCUUGAUGGGUUUUCGGCACUUGAUCAUAUAAUUCUCUGGCCAGAGUGUGUCAACAUAUUUAGUAUGUUGAAAAUAAUCAUUAACGAAAACCAGUAAGUAUUAAAGAACAAGAUGUAAUUAAAUUGAUUGGAUAGUUGAGAUAUCGAUUUAAUUAAUGAUGUGGUACAAAGGAUUGUGCAGUAAAGAAAUCAAUGUGGCUUGAGACGAAUUAUUAUUCGAGCAUAUAAUUAUGGAAGUCAGUUCCAAUCUUUUAGUGGAGUAUUCCAAUCUUUUAGUGGAGUAGAUUUAGAAUUAAAUAAUUGAGCUAGUUUAAUUACAUGUCUAAUUAUUGUAGCCACUAUUGUAUGUUCCCAAAUGAUCCCCGGGUUAGCUCAUUUAAUUGACUGCACCACUAUUGGAUUAAUAAGCAAGAUAACUAGCUAAUUGGGUCAAAAGCCUAAAUAUAUCAUUUAGUGGGAGGCUCCAUUUAAUUAGUUUGUGUGUAAGGGGCCUUAUGUUAUUUUACAAGGUGGGUCCCUUAUAGAAAAAGCAAGUAAUGUGAGUUUGUUUUUGAUUAUUUGGAGCCUAGGGUUUUCACUAAAGGGAGAUAUAAAAGGCUUAUUUUCUCUAAAGAAAAGAGAUAGCAGCCACUUUAUAUAGAUCAGAGAAAAAGAUUUUUCUCUCUAUUGUUGAGAGAAAAAUUUUCUCGUGCUAGUUGAUUUGGUAGUGAUAAAGGUGCCCACACGUCAAGUGCAGAUCAAACCUGAGUCAUAAUCUGAAAGAUAAUUGGUGACAGUUCGUGAUCUAACAAGCGUGGUGGUGACGGAUCGUGAUCUAACAGACGUGGUGGUGACGGAUCGUGAUCUAGGAGCCUAAAUCACUUCAGCGGAAAAAUCUAAAUCGAAUUUUCAAGGUACGAUUUCUAGAUUACGUAUUCUUAUAUAUUAUAUGAGAGCGAUCUUAAAAAUGUUUUAUAAAAAAUUUAAAAAACUUAUCUUUCCCCAACAUAUGGAACCAUGCAAAAGGGCUUUAUUCAAACAAAGCCGCAUAGCCGUUGGCAAUCAAAAUACUUUAUCAAUUAAGUUAAGUAGUAAGAAUUGGAUUGUGGAUUCUAUUAAUUAUUUCAAGGAAAAUUUUAUAGAUAAUGGCGUAAUGAAAUUUACGGCAUCAAUACCAUGAUAAAUAUAAAUAUUGUAAAUUACAAAUAGAAUUAGUAAAUGUAAAGUAAAACCAGUAAAUUCAUAAAAGAUUAUUAAUUAUUUAAAAAAUUAACAUUGUUUCUACAUAAUUUUAGUGAAAAAUAUUUUAUUCAUUUACAAAAAAAAAAUUCUUUAAUUAAAAAAAAUCAUUAAUUAAAUAAAAAAUUAUACUGAAACAAAAGUGGAAUAAGUUUAAUUGAAUUGGUUACCAUAAAUUCUAUAUUUAGUCUAGAACAUUUGUAUACAUUUUUUUUCCCAUUUUCUAUAAUGAUAUCUAUUUAUUACACAUGUUAAUUAAGUGUAAUUAUUUAUCUUGAUGUGGAUCAAGUAAAAAAAAAAAAAGAGAUAUCAAUAAAAUUAGAUCUAAUUUUGAAUAUUAUGUAUACUUUAUGUAGUUUCAAACAUUUUACCUGUAUUUGGAGACCAUUUAAGGUUGUUGUUGAAGAAGUGUAGAAAGAUGUAAAAUAACGUCAUCUUACAACAAUUAUAAUGAUAUCUAUUUAUUACACAUGUUAAUUAAGCACAAUUAUUUAUCUUGAUGUGGAUCAAGUAAAAAUAAAAAAAAAGAUAUAUCAAUAAAAUUAGAUCUAAUUUUGAAUAUUAUGUAUACUUUAUGUAGUUUCAAACUUUUUACUUGUAUUUGGAGACCAUUUAAGGUUGUUGUUGAAGAAGUGUAGAAAGAUGUAAAAUAACUUCAUCUUACAACAACUAUGAAAGAUAUUAAAAUAAUAUUUUUUUCAAAAUCCGAUUUUGAGCAAAAAUUUCAUCCUUAAUUAAACAUCACAUGUAUUAUGGAAAUGCAAAACUACCAUUGUUAUAUUUAAAUUAAAAAAUAAUAAAUAUAUAAGGUAAUAAACAUUAUAACGAGUUUUUAUUUUAAAAUUGUAAACUUUUGUUUCUAACAAUAACUCUUAUAUUAAUUAAUUUAUUUUUCCUUUUAUUCAUAAGUUUUAUGCUUAAUCUACAAACUUUAUGUUUUAUUUUGCAUUUAAUGUUGAUUUACUUUUUUUAUAUUAUACUUAUAAGUUUUCAUUUUAUUUACCAGUAAUACAUCAAUUUAUCAAUUUUGUAGUAAUUUACUUAUUUUACUUUCCUUUUACAAUUCUUAUGUUUAAUUUCCAAAGUUUAUGUUUUAUUUUACAGUUGUUGAUGAUUUACUAGUUUUAUGUUAUGUUUGCAAGUUUUUGUUUUGUUUACUAGUAAUAGAUUAAUGGGUAAUUUUUAAUUGAGUCCUCAUUAGAUCUAGAAAAAUAAUUCAGUGACCAGAAGUUUACUAAAUGAAUCAAUUAAAUUCUUUCAAAUACAAACUAAUGUCAUUCAAGUCCUUAACUUAAUUGCUCAGUUAAAAAUACUAACAACGUUGAGGACAUUUUAGUAAAACAACAAUUGAGUCGUUUCUCAUUCUUUAUUUUUGACAGGUGGAAAUAGUUUAAAGUAAAAAAUAAUCAAGGCCUAACUGUUAACAUGUAGAUGUUCAUUAUAUUGAUUUUGAUGAUAACAAACUUUAAAUAUUUUUUAUUAAAAUGUUGGAGUUUUCAUUACUAAACAAUUUCUCAAAAGUCGUAUGAUCUUUCUAAAUGUGUUCAUGAAAUAUGGAGAAUCGUUAACUUUAACCGAAAAAUCAUUCCCUGCGAAAUUUGGUUAAAAUUGUGAUUCUGGAAGUAAAUGGUGAACCAUUAACUUCAAACGGCCAACCAAUAAUUUCCAGAAUGUCAUUCCAUGCUGACCUUCAAUCGUUUAGCAAGAACCGAUAGCAGAAAUUUGUUUUACAGGUUUAUGGAAAUUAACAGCAAACCGAUAGUGUCAAAAGAUCAACUGUUUAUUUGAAAUUUAUCGCAACGGUCACUUGAACCAGUCAAAACGGUUAACUGAUAACGGUUAACGGCGAUCCAAUUUCGGGAAAAAGUCAACAAUGGCUAUUUUUCAACUCCAACAUUAAAUAAGCUCAAUCAAAUUCAAACUCAAACAAGAGCUGAUCACAACAUUAUCAUUGAGCUUAUAAUCGAGAAUACAACAUUCAUUGAGCUUCAAAUUAAUUCUUGUUCAUUUAUUCACACAUUAAGCGUUGAUUUGUAAUCUCAAAAAAUUGUGUGAGAGAAAAAUAAAUUUGUAAUCUUUAUUUUGAGUGAUUGUAAAUGUUGGGAUACACUUGGGUUAAGAGAUUGGGGAUAAUCUCUUGAUGUAAAGGUUGAUUGACGCCUAAGAAGUUAGUUGUAAGUGUUCUUGAAGCCUUGAAGGCUUGACUAGUGGAAUGCCCAAGCUCCGUGUGCUUGGAGGCGUGGAUGUAGGCAAGGUUGGCCGAACCACGUAAAACUCUCUAUAUUUUAAUCUCUCUUCCCUUAUCUUUUUAUAUUUUGGUUGAUUUAUUUAUUAUUGCUUUAAAUUUGUUUAAGAUUUGCAUUAAGUUUUGUUUAAGAAUUGCAUAAUUUUUAGAAACCCAAUUCACCCCCCUCCUGGGUUGCUUAGAUAUUAUUUCACUAACAUGCCUCUGUUUGUGCAAAAUAUAAUAAGGUAAUUUAGAGUACUAACCAUAGUACUCUUCCUCGAAAUUCUAGAAUAGGUUCGCUAGUUCCAUGAGCCCAUAGAUUGGCCCAUGCUCAGCACUGUUAUAGCUCCACACAUUAUGCAAGAUUACUCCCGCAACUAUUCCACACGACCUAAAGCAACACAUUGCCGACUAGCCCAAUAAGAUCUGCCUUAGUUCAUUAGUUGAAUAAUUUAUUUUAAUUCUAAUUUAUAAUAAGAAUGGCACUGAUAAAAUUACUGUAGCAAUUCCUAUAAUAAUAAUCCUUGUGGAGACGAUCUUGAAUACUAAUCGUUAUAUUACUUGUUGUGUACAUUUUCACAUUGACACUAAUAGCAUUAGAAAAUCGACAACAAGUUUUUUGCGCCAUUACCGGGGAUUGGUGCUUAUUGUGUUUUGUGAAAUCAAUUUUAGUUGGUACAAUAGAGUUCUUUGCCACCAGACUCCAUCACCACAUGGAAUGAUUUGGCUGACAAUAUUUUGAUGAAAUAUUUCCCACCAACAAAGAAUACAAAGUUGAAGAAUGAGAUCACAUCUUUCCAUCAACUUGAAGAUGAAAGCUUGUAUGAUGCAUGAGAAAGAUUCAAGGAGUUACUCAGGAGAUGCCCUCAUCAUGGUAUUCCUUAUUGCAUACAAUUGGAAACUUUCUACAAUGGGUUGAACUCAAGCACUAAGGGCUUUAUUGUCUAACUCAUAUAAUGAGGCUUAUGAAAUUUUGGAAAGGAUAACUAUCAAUGGCCAUCAACUAGACAAGCCACAGUGAGAGGAGCAGCAGGAGUACACAAUGUGGAUGCACUGACAACAUUAUCAGCCCAAGUAACCUCAUUGACAAAUAUGGUAAAAGCAACGGCCACUGCUCCAACAACAGUUAACCAAGUUGCUGAAGUCUCUUGUGUUUAUUAGAGAGAGGGACAUCUAUAUGAUAAUUGUCCUAUGAAUUCAGCUUCAGUCAAUUAUGUGGGCAAUUUUAAUAAACAAAAUCAAAGCAAUCCAUUUUCAAACAGCUAUAACCUUGGAUGGAGACAUCACCGAAAUUUUUCAUGGAGCAAUCAGAAUCAGCAUGCUGCAGCAUCUAGUGGACAGAACAGACUUGCUCAACCACCUGGUUUUCACCAGCAAUUAUAAGGGUAAAGAAACACCAGUAAUGAUCAAUUUAGUUCCCUUGAAACUCUAAUUAAGGAGUAUAUUGUGAAGAUUGAAGUAGUGGUCUAAAGCCAAGUUGUAUUUUUAAGAAACUUGGAGAAUAAGAUUGGAUAGCUUGCUACAACAUUGAGCAACAUACCUCAGGACAGUUUACUAAACAAUACAGAGGAUCCAAAGAGAGAAGGAAAAGAGCAUUGUAAGGGGAUUAACUUAUGGUCUGGAAAGGAUGUUCAUAUUCUUGUUAAAGUACCAAAAAGAAAAGUGGAACCUAAUUCAACCCAAAGGGAAACUCAAAUUAAAGAAGAGACACAACAACCCAUUUUCCAGCACACUGGUGAGAGUUGCUAAGCUAUAACAACUGCAAAAAAACAUGAUUCAAUGCUUGUUGAGGAAGAAGCUGCAACACCAACAAUAACAGACCAUAAUAGAGCAAGAGAAAAGCAAUUUGUAUAGUCUGCUGCAGUACAACAAUUUACACAUCCACCAACAUUUCCACAAAGAUUUCAAAAGCGAAAGCAAGACAAGCAAUUCAAUAAAUUCUUGGAAGUAUUGAAACAACUGCAUAUCAACAUUCCUUUUGUGGAAGCAUUAGAACAAAUGCCAAAUUAUGUAAAGUUUUGGAAAUGUAUAUUGGCAAGGAAAAUGAGGCUUGGAGAAUUUGAAAUAGUUGGCCUAACACAAGAAUGCAGCCAUAUGCUUCAAAGUAAAAUGCCUCAAAAGAUGAAGGAUCUAGGAAGUUUCACAAUUCCUUGUUCCAUAGGAACUAAAUAUAGUGGCAAGACACUUGGGUAAUUUUUAGGGACCUCCCCUGAGGAUUGGUGUAUUAACACUUAGAUGGAAUGUAUUCGUGAAAUUACAAAUACCUCCCCUGCCGUUAGUAUAAAAAUACGUAUAACAUCAGUAUAGAAGGGUAAAUGUGUAAAAACAUAUUAAAAACUAAAAAUGUAUGCUUUUACUAGAUCAAUAAAAUUUUGACCACCACUUGCCACCUGUUGACCCACCCUUGAGCAGCUGAUCAUGGCUCCACCGGUGGCUAGUGGUGGUGCUUUACUAGUGUUGGAGUUCCCUCCUCACACCGGCGACCAACCCCAUUCACGGUCCUUGUGGCAAUAAUUAUGGGACUAGUGUAGCAUAAAUACUAAUAUUGCUUUUUAUUUUGUAAAUUAAUUGUUGCGUCAUAAUGUUUUUACAUACACAUUUUAUGUUUUAAAAUAUGAAUUUUUUUUUUGUAUUUAGGGUUAAUUUUACAAUUUCAUACUUUGUUCAAUUAUAUGUACAGGUCCUUAACGUGUUGGUUGAUGUUGAAUAUUCAAAGAUCCACAAGCUAUCAACAACAACGAAUCAAAUUAAACUAAUUAGUUAAUACAUAAUGACUGGGUUGUUUCCUAUGCUUGUUAAUGAUGUAGGACAUUAUUUUAGGAUUUUAGAAUUUUAAUUAUUAGGUCUUCUGAUAUUUUCUUUUUUAAUUAAAGUCAGUGUCUUAGUUUUUUAUUUAUUUAUGUUAUAAUUAUAAUUUACUUUCUCUUUUUAAGUUAACUUAGGAAAAUAUAUUUACUGUAUUAUAAAUAAAGAGAUCUUGUUAUUACUUUAUAACUUCAACUUCAGUUAUUCAAUUAAAAACCCCUCUUUUAAAGUUGUUUGAUUAGAGCAUCAUCUAGCCUUGCUUAACGCAUUAUUAAAAAUCCCUUUGAGUUUAAUCACACUUCUAUUAGAGCGUAACUUAAUCGCAUUAACUUGGUCCAGUACUUGAACGAUAUCAAGUGUUUUGCUUCCGCUAUGCCCAAGGAGAAAAUUAAUUUCACCGUGAGAUAAGAGCAUUAAAAGGAAUUCAUAAGAAAUUUAAAUUAAAGCUAAGUUAAAUAUAUCGCUAGCUACUUGUUUUCGGAGGAAUUAAAACAAUUAAUAAGCUGCGAAGUGAAAAUGAAUAAAUAAAUGAAAUGAGGUUGAAAAUAAGUCUCGCCGCCUGGAUCCAAGGCCAAAACAUUCAUGAUAAGUUAGGUAAUUAAGUACAUGUUUUCAAGCUCUUCAUGAAGAAUAACGUUAUUGAAAUAAAUCACAAAGACUCCCUGCGCAAAUUAUUACAUUGAUUAAAAAAAAAAAGCCAUAUCUUUAACAGGAUCGUGACUCUCGGACUGUUAAUUACUUUAUUCCCUGCUUGGCCAACAGCUGGCCACUAAACAAAAUCAUAAAAAAUUUAAAUUUAGUCAAAUUGGUCCCACUUGAUGACAUCCUUUUCAUACAUAAAAUUGUUUAACGUCAAGGUUAAAUAUGAGAAGUUUGGUAGAGAAGGUAAAAAGGACGUCUAUAUAAGGAGGGGAACGAGCUUUGUUUAUAGCACAAGUGAAACUCCACUUUAUUGAACGAUGGGGUCUCAAAUGGGCUGCCUCUUUGCCACUCUUUUGGUAGUAUCAGUCUCUCUUAGCUACUUGCCGAUAGAAGCCUCCGCAAACAAAUACUACUACACAUCUCCUCCCCCUCCCAAGUACAAGUCUCCACCACCACCCCCGCCACCGGUUCACAAUUCUCCACCACCACCCCCGGUUUACCUGCCCCCGCCACCUCCUCCACCAGUCUACGUGCCUGCUCCGGCACCAACUCCAAUUUUCCCUUCUCCGCCACCUCCUGUCCCCAAGUCCCCACCACCACCUCACCCUUACGUCUAUGCAUCUCCCCCUCCUCCUUACUACUACUAGAAAGCGGCCAUGAAUAGCUCAUGCUUUUAUGGUAAUCUCAUUUAUUUUUAAAACUGUACAUGUAAAGACUAGUAGUUCAGAAUUACAUUAAGCAUUUCAAUUUUAAGCACCGUGUUCUGUUUAAUUGCGUUCCUAUUGAUUAAGUGACAAAUAAAAGAGAUUGAUUAAUUUGUUCUUGUAGGAGAGGCGAAUGGUAUCCGAAUAAAGAAAGCAAGGGUUUGAUGGAAGGCUUACUUGGAGCAAGAUAGCGAUCAAUCGAGUUGCUGCGUUUUAUUCUCUUUUCUCUUUGUUUUUUAAGAAAAAUAAACUGCCACACGUAGAAACAGAAAAUUAAGUUCUUGUCAUUUUCAUGCAUGUGGAUUGUUGCUUUGUGUGUCAAUCAAAUCUCCGUUGUGUCAUUUGUAAUUUUCAACCUUUAUGCAUGCAAAUGCGAGACCUCUUACGUAUAAUAAAAUUAAUAUACUUCCCAAGAUGGUCUUAUCUUGCGUUGACUUUUUACGUUCCUUUGGUGAUGAUUUUAACGUUUGAAAUUGAUGAGUAUUGUUUUUGUAAACUCUGACAUGG